AUACACAAAAUGUAUUUUUUUUCUUGAUUGAGGAAUAGAUAGAUAAUGCUAAUUUAUUAUGCAUGAAUGACAUACUCAUGACAUCAGCAUAAGGGUUAAUCAAUAAAAUAAUAUGGCAAGGGACUAAUCUGGCCGCUAACCUUCAGUUAAUCAGGAUGCACAUUUGCAUGCUGCACGAUAUAGCUUUCCUGGAGUAGCAAGGAUUGGGCAAUCGUACGUCAUGCAGUUGCAGCAGCUGAGAUGACUUUGUGCUUGGUAAAAGCGUGAAAUAACAGCAUGUCUAGCUUCAUGGUUGGAUUGCAUGCAGUUACUAGAUGACAACUGCCCGUACAGAGAAGCACAAAUUCAUGGAGGUGCUCACCGAACAUAGAACGAUGAUGGAGAUGGCAGCCAGCUUGGACAUCCCACAUACGUGGUGCUCCAUGGACUUGAGAGCGGAGAUCAUGCAGAGCAUCUAGGCAUGGCUGAUGGCUACGGGCAGUCUUCACUUAGAUCAAUUAGCUCCCAUGGUGAACAGAUGACAAUGAGCCAUGGAUCGAGAUCAACUCUGUACCUGCUUGGCAAAACUUCCCGGCGGCGCGGCAAGAUGGAGGUGCGGCGCAUGAUGAGAGUUAGGGCAUAGGAUGGAUGAGAAAUUAACCAAAUAGGACAUAAAGAUAUGUAUAUGUACUGUUUGUGUGGGUUUAUUAUGGCCGAGAUAUACGUGUUAACGUUUCUUCACGUACGAGUCCUGAGUUGACGUGGUGGUCGAGUCCAUCUUCAACACGUACGACAGUAGUGGUGGUUGUCCACGCGACUUCAUAUGGUAGUAUAUAUACUCCGUAUAUAUAUUUCUCAUGCUUGGGAUAAGAAUUAAGAAAAAAAAUGGGCAUGCAGCAAAGCAGGGACACGAUAGAGGGAGCGUACAAGAUAGGAGAAGGAAACAAAAAUAAAGAAACUUGCAUCUGAGUAGAAAGCUAAUUGAACCAGUUAUUUGCUUCCUGAAACAUCACGUCAAAACUUAGAUCCAAUGAAACAAGAAAACAAUAGAUAGGGCAAGUAUUAAUGGGAGAGAGAGGGUAGUACGGGCCUUCUUCUAUCCAAUAAUAAAAGAGUAAAAAAAAUGUUUGGCCAAAAGUGAUUUAGGGUCAAGAUUAAUUCGGAACAAUUUGAAAAUUAACAUUUUUCUACAACUAAAUUUGCACUAACUCAAACUAAACUUAGUAAAUUUUAUACAAAUAUCGAAAUAUUUAUUUUUGUUAAUAUUUUCUAUGCACAGCCCAAAAUCAAAAUUUUUAGGGUGUGACAUGCUCUCCACCAGCCGAAACUCUAAUUGGCCAAAGUCAAGUUCACGUACAACACAAGGAAGAAGGUGCAUGUUCUGCAGCUCAUCUAUUCAUUCAAUUAUUCCAAAAAUCCAUACCAUCUUAAUCGUGUAUCAUUUAGUUAUUCUAAGUCUAAUUUAAUCCAUUCAACCAUGUUAGAAUUUUGUAGAUUUAAUCUACGUACUAGUACCUGUAUCUUCACGUGUUGCGCUAUAUUUAUAAAUCUUAUUAAUUUAAAUGCUAGAUUGAUUAAUGUUUAUGUACAAUUACUUUUCUAAUUUAGAAGCGAACAUACUAAAUAUUUCUGAAUUUUAUAAUCUAAAAUAUACUAAACGUUGAUGUUUGUGUGCAACUGGUUUUCUAAUUUAAAAUCCCUAUAGAUUUUAUAUUUUGGUGUUUUAUAUAUAAAUAUUAAUAUGGUAAGUUACUAACAUAAUCUUAUUUCUAAAUAAUAAAUUGCUUAGCUCAAACAUGUUUCAUAUAUGAAAUUCUAAUUAGACUAAAUACUCUCACAUAUUUAUUUCUUUUGCAAUUUGCAAAGAUAAAGCUUAAUAAUUUAUUUAGUAAAUUAGGUGAUAACAUUUAUAAAAAAAUAUAUGAUUAGCAUCAACUCAGAUUUCAAGUUUAAAUAUGAUUUAUUUUGAGUUAAUGUUACUCACAUUGUUUUUCUUAAUUAAUAUAAAUCAAGCUUAUAGUUGUUUGAUUUACGGUAUAAAUUAUUUUGGCAAUUGUUCCUUUUACAUCGUAGCUUCGACCUCGAUGGUUCUUGCGUUUUUGUGACCGUGAUCAAAUUAGAGUGCUUUUCACGUCUUUGUGUCCGUAGCGAUAGAUUAGUUUUUAAACCUUUUUAUUGUUUGGUGUACUGUACUAAUUAUAGCUUUGUUUGCUUCAUGUAUGUUUGGCUCCUGUUUGCUUGUGUGUUGCUAUUCGAUGAUCGAGUUUAGACGGUGAGCAAUUCGUAAUGAACAAGAGUGCUUUAGUGAUCAAGAUCAGAGCCUUGACAACUAGUAAGACCAACAGGAUCAACAAGAGCAUUUGGAUUAAGGCAAGUAUAGCAUUUGGAUUUUAUUUCUGUGACCAUGAUCGUAUGACUAGAUUAAUGUUAAGUAAUAAACAAUAAAAAUGACUGUUUAGCAACUUAAGGAUUUAUCUGUACGUGAUCACCCGGGACAACAGUGCAACCAUGAGGGCUAUAAUGGCUCUGGCUUUAGCUCAGUAUGAAGACCUUUUCUAGCUUGUUAGCGGUUACCCGAAAGGGCGCUAGAGGGGCUGAACCGACACGGGUAUAGUGCGAGCCCCUGUCCCUAUGUGUAUAGGCUGCGCGUCAUUGUGCCAUUCGGAAGGGGGUAUCUAUAUCUGCUCGCGGUGGAAACCUCGCGGCCCUAACAUGUUAGACUAACUUUUGAAAGGCUUCAUAGUGAUCCCUGCCGACCUUCCUUGGUAGUGCGUUAAGAGGCUGAUCACCUCGGGCGAAAGGGUAAAUCAUGACUCAUGGGUAAAGAUGUACAACCUCUGUAGAGUGUUAAAACUAGUAUACUAGCCGAGCUCACGGUCAGGAGCGACCUUGGGGACAUCUACAUUAAGGGUGAUGAAUCUUGUGUGUUAAAUAUGCUCAUUGUUUAUUGUUUAAUGCUCAACAUUAUUUAUGUCGCAUUGAUCAUGAGAUUGUGGGAGCUAUACAAUCUAGUUGCUAUACUUGUGGAGUUCGACAUGGACUCACUCUUGCUAUUUCCCCACACCCCUCAGGAGAAGUUUUGGGCUUGUGAUCAACCAGUCAGUUGGAUCCUGUAGAGAGAAGUUAAUACCCGAAGUUUGGAGUUGUCUAUCCGCUGUUUGCUAUCACAGGUUAUAUCUUUUAUACUAAGUACGUUAUAUAUUUAUGCAUUGUCUUUUGAUAUUACCCUUAUUUGUAACUAUAUGUGAGACUUGGCUUCUAAAACUCACAUAUAGUGCAUAUCUGAUUUUGUCCUUAAAAUCGGGUAUUACAAAAAGACACAUAUCUAUUUUAUUUUCUAAUCAGACGAUAUCAACAACUUGAUUAAUGAUGAUUGAUUAAUAAAUAAAAGUACUUAAUGUAAAAAUUUGUUUUUCCCCAUAGAAUAUAUUGUGUUUAUUUAAAGAUAAAUUUUGAACACUGAAAUGAACUAUACUAGGUGAAUUCCCCGCGCGUUGCUGCGGGAUUUUUUUAAAAAUAAAUUAUUAUAUACAUAACAUUACUAUAUGGUAUUUAGUCUAUUAUGUAUGUAUACAUAUGAAUUGGACUUGCAUGUAUUUUAUUGUAUUAGAUUAGUAAAAAAUUGCUAAGCUAAUAAAACAAAAACUAAUAUUUGAUUACAUUAUAGAGGAAUUAAUUGGUGAUAAAACAAAUAAUGUAUGUACAUGACUUGUAUGUGAAUAUAUUAAAGAUUUAAAGUAUUUCACAUAAUAUAGAUGGCAUGGUUAUUUUUUUAUAAUUAAUAUGGAAUGACAUGGACUUAGUGGGGAAUGAUGUGGACAUCUUGCAUGAAGAGAUAAAAUAUUUAGUGGGUCACUUAGUGGGAAAUGAUGUGGCCACCUUGCAUGAAGGGAGAAUUCAUCUAAUGGGGUUUAGCUUUAUAAGAGUUAUAGAUUACAUGAUGGAGGGAGUAUUUACUACCCAACCAAAGAUCCCUCUACCGUUGUGUUUGAUAUUCCCGCGCACUACAAGUUAUCAUUGGUAUCCAAAGAUGGAGGAGACGAUAAUCUAUUUUGUCCGUACACACGCGUCAGCCUUUUGACCAAGAUAUUAUUUCUGUAUUUUUAUUUGUAUAUACGAUUAUAAGACAGCGAUAGGCAACGGAAUGAGACAUCGAAGGAACGGAAUAUAGACGAAGAUGUACUAUUAUGUAUACUAUACCUUCACACUAAAUUAGCUGAUAAUAUAAAUUCUGUAGGAGUAUAUACGCUGAUAAGUACACAGCCAAACAGACGAAGUUGACACGUCCAUGGUUGAUGACACCUUCGCACUAACGAACGACCACAUACGAACAAAUUAAUGAAUUGACUUUGAAAGAAGUAAAAGAAGCCAAAACAAUUUAUUUUUGUCGAACCAAGAAAUUUGGUCUUUGUUCCAAAUUUCAUCAAAAACUUGUUCGUUCUAGCAAACUCAAGUUAUAUCGUGCUAUAUCCUGUAAUAUAGUGAAUUUUAAAAAUUUUAAAACAUUUUUUCUAAAAAAUAAGAGAAAAUUUAAAAGACACAUGUACGUUUAUUUUAUUUCCUAAUUAGACGGUAUCAUCAACAUGAUUAAUGGUGAUUGAUAGAUAAAUGGGAAGUAUUUAAUGUAACAUUUUGUUUCUUCCAUAGAAUAUAUUGUAUUUAAAGAUAAAUUUUGAAUGCGGAAAUAAAUUAUAUAUACUAGGAGGAUUUUCUGCGCGUUGCCGCGGGUAUGAAGCAGUAAUCUAUAUGUGUGGUGUUAGUAAUGCAGGAACAUGAUAUAAUAUAUGUGUAGAUUUAUUAGUAUAAUCGUGGACAUUAUAUCUAUAGUGGCCGGUGUUUCUAGCUGAUGUUGAUAUCAUAAUUCUUGUAUCAGUGAACUUUAAUUGCAAAUAAUAGUGGAUUGCUGAGGUGGACACCUUGCAUGUCAAGAGAAAUUGCUAGUGACAAAUUAUAAUGGAUUGUUGAGGUGGACGUCUUGCAUGUUAAAAGAAAUAGCUAGUGGGAUUUUACUUUAUAAGAGUUAUAGAAGUGGAUUGAUGAGGUGGACAUCUUACAUGUCAAAAGAAAUUGCUAGUGACAAAUUAUAGUGGAUUGCUGAGGUGGAUGUCUUACAUGUUACGAGAAAUAGUUAGUGGGUUUUUGCUUUAUAAGAAUUACAGAUUACAAAAUGGAGGGAGUAUUUAGUACCCAACCAAAGAUCCCUCCACCGUUGUGUUUGAUAUUCCCGCGCACUACAAGUUAUCAUUGGUAUCCAAAGAUGGAGGAGACGAUAAUCUAUUUUGUCCGUACAUACAUCAGCCUUUGGCCAAGAUAUUAUUUCUGUAUUUUUGUUUGUAUAUAUACGCUUAUAAUGUGGCUCGCGAUUUUGUCGAGUCUACGUUUCUUAAUGACAGGCCAUGAGGCCCAAAGUGAACUCAAAAAGACAGCGAUAGGCAACGGAAUGAGACAUCGAAGGAACGGAAUAUAGAUGAAGAUGUACUAUUAUGUAUACUAGUACACCUUCACACUUAAUUAGCUGAUAACAAAAUUCUGUAGGAGUAUAUACGCUGAUAAGUACAGCCAAACAGACGAAGUUGACACGUCCAUGGUUGAUGACACCUUCGCACUAACGAACGACCACAUACGAACAAAUAAAUUAAUGAAUUGAUUUUGAAAGAAGUAAAAGAAGCCAAAACAAUUUAUUUUUGUCGAACCAAGAAAUUUGGUCUUUAAACUUGUUCGUUCUAGCGAACUCACGUUUCUAUAGCAAUGAUAAAACUUUUGAACUUACACAAUGCAGGGAAAACCUAAAGGCAAAGUGAAAGCAAAAACAGUCCUUAACAUAGUGAAAGGUUGACAUUGGAAGAUUUGAUGCGGGUCCGAAGUUCCAAAGAUUGUAAGUCGAAGUCGGAAAAAAUAACUCGACCUAUGGGGGUAAGACAGCCCCGGGUAUUGUGUUUAAGAAAAAAAAAAUUAAGUCGAGAAAAUCCCUAAACCUCUACCUUACCCAUACACAAUGGUAUCACAGCUCCUAUGACGCUGGCUGAUCUUAGACCUGUACUUUAACAUAGAGCAGACGAGAAGAUUUUGUCAACAUGCAGAUAAACUAACGCCUCCUCCCAUCAACAAAUCCGCCUUCCAAAGAGUUCGAACUGUGGCCGGUAGGAUGCAAAGCGCACCGUCCAAGCAACUGGUCUAGCGUAUAUCAGAAGUAGGUCGUAAAUUCCAAACAAGACUGCUUCAAAUCAACUCUAAAAAAUUUGAAAUUUUGUACAAACCUUGAAUAAACCAUUUAUAAAAGAUAACCCCCAAGAGAUCAAUACUACCACGUAAAGCAUUUUGCAUGCGGCCACAUUUGUUUUCCACAUACGCCCAGCAAAGUCUGCCUCCAAGUCUAAGCAUCAAUGAUUCUGAUUUUUUUUUUUUUUUGAAGAUGCUUGUCUGUGAAAAUAGGUUUAGAAAAUAAAAAAAGGGCCUAGGCCCGGCGUCGAACUCGCUUCCGGAAGCGUCGCCACCGCUGCCCAUCCACUCUAAACACGCGGCUGUCGUCACCGAGGCCGCUCGCAGCCAGGUAGCCACCCCACUGUCGCCGGAUCUUGCUGUGGAUCCCUCCACCGCCGGAUCAAGCCAUGGAUCUCUCCAUUGUGCCGCCGUGAGGCCGUGUCACUGCGCACUCCUGCGUUGCGCCACGCCGUUGCGAGGCUCCUGGGUGCCAAUCUAGAUAACCCGGGUUGUCAUCCACUCGAUCGACCUGUCUUAAUAUAAACCAAAUACUGAGGACCCACAGGAAAGUAUCAUCUGCACCUCGUCUUAAAGACCUUUUACAGUUGAGUUACACCAACGAGCCAAUCAUCAAGCGACUUACAACACAAUCUUAUAGUGAACAAAAAAAUUUCAAACUAAAACAUCAUUGACCAUAAAAGAAAUUAACCUGCAAGAAGACAUCGGACGAGUUGGAGAUGAGCUCACUUGAUUGGAUUGGGAGAGCGUGUGAGAGUGAUUAGAGAUAGAGAGCUUUGAUGAGUGAUCCAACUGUGGAUUAGUAUCAUACUAGUUUUUAUCUAGACAUGUGAGGGUGUUAGGUCCUAGGGUUAAGGUUAAACAUUUUAAACUUCAAAAUAUUCAUCAGAUGCUCCAUCAAUUAUGAUGGACUCUCCUUCAAAAAUAUUCCCAAAGCUAGCAAGUUUGGGUUCGGCUAUAAGAGAAUUGAUGGAUGAUCCGAUAAACUUGUCGGACGAUCCAAAAAAAUGGACGAUAUGUGGUUCUAGGAACAUGCCACAGAACGAUCGGUGGGUGAGCUGUGUUUCACAGACACUCCGCGGAAUCGACAUUUGCUCCAUGGUGAACUAGGUGCUACCGAGUUCUCUGGAAACCAAUUUUAGUUAUUGACGCGCAGUCCAUGGAUCCUCAUGAAUGUUCCAUGAACAGUGAAGACUAAGUGUUUGGCUGUGAUUUCUGGCCAAGCGUUGUGGUUGACGUAUGAUCUGUAAGAUGUGAUGGAUGCUUCAUUAGUGCAUUCACACAAGUUAUGUGUUUUAUCAUUCAUGGUGUUUAUGUGUGAUUUAAGUCUAGAUCAUUGGUGAUGUUCAUCAUGUAUGUGCAAGGGGUUAGGGUUGUUUAGGUGACAUGUUGGGCUACUGAUUGCUAGGGUUGAGCUCUAGUUACCAUGUGCAUCAUAGUGAUCUGUGGAUCAAAUUAAUCAUGAGAAAAGAGAAAUUAAAUCAUGAGAAUGGGCAUGGCAAUAUAUCUUUAAGAAUUUGAUGACCUCUAGGCCACCAAGAUCAGAUAUGGGGUCUUGCUCAACCUUGCUUCCAAGAAAAAGAGAUGGAUUGGGGAAUUCAUGAGAUUUCUUGCAAAAAUCCACAAAAUUGCAUUGGGGAGAAACUUGAGAGAUCCCUGAGAGGAUUGAGCUAGAGAUGAUCUUAGCUUACACUUGAGAUGAUGGAGCAACUUCCAAACUUCACAUAUUGCAUCCAUGCAUGAAAAAAAUCAUGCAUGGAUGUAAUGUGAAGUUUGGAAGUUGCUCCAUCAUCUCAAGUGUAAGCUAAGAUCAUCUCGAGAGAGGAUUUCAAGAAAAAUGAGAGAAAGGCUUUUGAUUUCACCAUAGAUUGAGGUUGAGAUGGAGAAGCUGAUGAGAUUUGUGAUCAAUGCUGACCUUUGCUUCUUAUCCUUCCUUUAUUUCCCUUCUCUUCAUCUUUCUCACUUUCUCUCUCUAGUUCUUGCCUUGUUCUUCAUGUGUUGAGAGAGGGGGAUAGGGAAUGGGUAAGAGAGUAAGCGGGAUGGGGCAUGUUUGCUGAAGGCCUUUCCCAACUCGUGCUGACAAGUGGGUCCACUUGUGAGAGAAUGGAGGACAGCUCAUUCCCAACUUGAUUCUACUAAAGUCAAGUUUUGAUGAAUGAUCUGUCUAUUCAGAUAGGCACUCUGUCAAUAUGCUAAUUAUGAGAAAUUGAUUUAGAGAAAUGGUUCUUAGAAUUUAGAAUUAGGGCCAUUCUUCUUGUCCUAGGUGUUGAUAACCACUUAGGGAGAGACUAGAUAAGUCAACUAUACCCUUCCUCCACUAUCUUCUUGAAGUUGACCGUUAGUUGGUCAUCGAUGACUCUAGGUUGACUCUGGCUUAAGAGGAUCGAUAAGGUUGGUUAGCAAAUUUGGAGUCCUUAUCCUAGUUAAGAGCACUAGGAAUCCUUCAAGAGAAUAGCAAGUUGAUUCUUGGAAGUUUGAGGGCUUAUGCAAGGUGAUCAAAGAGGUUCUUAAGAAGGGUUUUAGUUGGAAUGACUUCUGGUCAUGACAAUUGCUGCCUUCAAUUCGCUCAAGAUCCAUGGUGGAAAAGAUUUCCAAACCCUAAGUCAUUUUGGGCCUGGUGGAGGCACGUCGUGAGAGAUGAGAGCGGGGAGGAGUUCCAAACCCUAACUCUAUCUUAUAUAUGUCACAAUCAUAUUGAGCUCGAUGGCUCCGAGCAUGUUUCUAGAGGUGGGCCGCCCACCUUUGUAAACGAAUUACAGAGAUAGAUGUUUUUGGACUGCCUCCUUAAGUAGAGCUACCACCACCGAAAAUUAGGAUCUUUUUGGGAGGCACUAAGAAUUUCUAACCACCUCCAUUAAUAAAAUCCCUUAUCUCCUAAAAUAUUUUAUGUAGUAGUGCAAGUCUAAAAGAUAAAAGCUUGAACAGAAAAUUCAAAAUCCUUAGUCUCAAAUUGGAGUUUUGUCAAUUUUCCUCCAAAUGGGGAUUUCUAUGUGCUCGUGGGAAAUCUGCCUAAGGCAGCUAUGUUUAUUCGUGAGCCCCUAUAGCACCUAAAGAUCAUUCAACGAUGUCCCAAAUACCUGAGCACAAAUAACUUCGAGAAAAUAACCUCAAGAAAUGGUAUUUUUAGAAGCAAAUUAGCUCGCCAACUGCCUCUAAGAGCAACUCCAACACUACCCUAAACUUCACUUGGCAAAUCUUGGAUUUUGCCAAGUGUAAAGCUCAAAUGCCAAGUGAAAAAAAGAGGCUUCUCCAACAGUUAGCUAUUUUUUUGGCAAAUUUGGACUAUCUUGUGAUUCCUGAAAAAAUCAGAGGGACUUUUAUGCAAAAGUUGCAAUCUAUUUAAGGCAUGCGUGCAUGCUGAAUGUGUGGGUCCCACCGCGUAGGCAGGAUGCCAAGCGCUCCCAACGCUCCUAAAUUUGAGCCAGUUGGCCCUCUUUUUGCCAAGCAUCCUAUUUUGUCAAGUGCAUAUAGGGUAGUGUUGGAGGAGCUUUUUCCAUGUUUUGCCAAAAAUUAGGAUUUGCCAAGUGCAUAUAGGGUAGAGUUGGAGUUGCUCUAAUAAAAUAGCAUACAUUUCUAGAGGCGGCUGGAGUUGUCUCUAAAAAAUUGAUUUUUAGAGACGAGUUGACUCAAAAACAAUUUUUAAAGACAGAUUUUUAUAAAGUAGCCUCUACCCAAAAAUUGAGACGUCUCUAAAAAUGGACUAUGACUGUAGACCUGUAGCUGGAGCAGGCUUGGUAUUUGUAGUUUAGAAGUUGCAGCGGCAGCGAGAGUUGGUGUGGCUUGUACCAUACUCCUAUUAAGUAAAGGAAAAUUGAUAGUAGUAUACAGCCUAAUGAGACAUAGACCAAUCUAUUUCAUUUUUGUACUCAUUAGAUAAUCGUUUAAUCAUUUCGCAAAAAGAAAAAAAUGGAUAGACACACUUAAUAAUACACAGAGUGAUGAAACAAUAUAACAUAAGCACAGGAUAAAAUAUGAGUACAUUUAUUGUCCUUAGCACAGACUGAUACACUAUAAUUAUAAUCACUCUCUCCGGUACAAAUUAAGCAGCAACAGGGACACAGUUCACAUCACAAAUCAUCUGAUUAAUUUGGUAUAAGAUUAUUGUAAGGUUUGGCCAUGAUCCAAAGCAUGGACUUCUUUCUUAACGUUAUCCCAAAGAUCUCUGCCAUAUCAAAUUCUUCCAACUUGACGCCAUCAGGUAGAGUCCAAUCAAAAUGGUAAAGAAGGCUAACAAGAGCCAGCUCUAGAUUGGCCAAACCAAGCGUUAUGCCAGGGCAUAUUCUCCUACCUGACCCAAAGGGAGUGAACUCGAAGUCAUUACCUCUAAAAUCGACACUACUAUUUUCAAAUCUUUCUGGCCUAAAUUCCUCUGCAUCAUGCCACAAUUUUUUGUCCCUUGCUAUUGCCCAAGCAUUCACGAACACCUUGGUUCCCUUUGGAACAUCGUAACCCAUAACCUGACAUGAUUCACGACCUUCUCGAGGGAGCAACAGUGGUACUGGAGCAUGCAACCGUAAAGUCUCCUUGAUCACCAGCUGUAGGUAUCUCAAUUUGAUCAAAUCACCUUCAGUUAUCUUGUCUUGUCCUUUGAAGGCCUCCCUCACCUCUGAUUGGGCCUUAUGCAUGACUUGUGGAUUCCUAACAAGCUCUGACAUUGCCCAUACUAGAACAGUUGAUGAUGUUUCACUCCCAGCAGAGAAAAUAUCCUACAAUACAAUGUUAUAGUUACAAUUUGUAAAAGGGGACAUUCACAUUUUAAUUCUCAUGAGAAUGUAAUCAGUAAACAUAAGAAUGUAAAAAAAGAAUGUAGGUCAUAAAUUAUAUUCUUGUUCACAUUUUUAUUGAGUGCCAAUCGUGCAGAAUUAAUUAAAUUCUUUUUUAUCAUUUUAGUAAAUAAGAAUUCAAUUUAUAACCUAAAUUCUUAUUUUAUAAAAUACAAAAGAGUUCUAACUAAAAUGAAAUAAGUACAUAUAAGAUUUUCAACUUAACUUGAGGAUUAAGAAACUACAUCAACUAACAAAAUCAAAAUUUAAAAUCAAGAUCAAAUAUGUCAGGUGACAUGGCUAGCAAUAAGAGAUACCAUAACUUAAGCUAUGGUUUUAACUAAAUGUGUAUUGAAGACAAAUGGACGUGCCACGCACAGAGAAAGAGAAAUUAUAAAUAUGGAUAAAAAAUAUAAGGAAUAAUUGAUAAGUUGAUCUCACCGGUAAAGAAAGAAAUAUCUAUAUUGUGUCAAAAAAAAGAAUAAAAAUAAUAGCACAAGGAUAAUUAAUUUGUUUAGUUGUAGGUACUAAACAUGGACUACGAUACCAAAACUUAUUUAGUGUAAUAAAAUUCCAUUUGCCUAAUGCUAAACUAGAAAUAAAUUAGAGACCAUUAAUAAUGGAGAGGUUUUGUAGGAGUGUGGUGUUAGAUAACUAGAAGAUAUCUCGCGCAUUGCUACGAGAAUCGCAAAGAACUUGCUUGGAAUGAAAUUAAAAGAAGAUAAUGUGAAUAGCUUGCAACUAAGGGUCCAUUUGGUAGGAUUUCUCCACCGGCUUCAGUUUGUUUGAAGCCAUUUUCUGCCACACGGUAUAAAAUAAAACGGCUUUGCUAGUGAAACUCCUUAAAACCAGCUUUAUAAGAGCGGAUCUCACCCAAAUAACCGUGCUGACAAUCUCGUUGGUGAGAGCGAACUGCAGGCCACCAUCCCUCUGCAGCCUCAGGAGAACACCCAGAAGGUCCUCCUCGUCUCGCUCUGGCGCCGUCGCCAUGGCUUCAGCUUCACGCUCAUGAAUGAUGCUCCGGAUGAUCCGGUACAUGUUCCUCUGGCACCUCCUCGCGUCCCUCGCGGCGGCGCUGAACCGGCGUACCAGCUGCGAGGACGGGUACAGGUCCGCCAGGUUGAACCCACCAAACAGCCGCACCACUUCGUCUAGCUCAUGCAUGUACUCAUCCCGGUACUUGCACCGGUCGCCGACGACCGUGCGCGCGGCGACGUCGUUUACCAUGCGGCAGAUCCCGUCGCUGAGGUUGACGGGCCGCUGGCCGUCGGCAGACUCCCUGGAGACGGAGCGGAGGAGGUUCGCCACCUCCUCUUCCCGGAUGUUCCGGAACGUGAGCACGCGGCGCUGGCUGAAGAGCUCCACCAUACACAGCUUCCGGAGCUCCCGCCAGUGGGCGUUGUAGGCGGAGAAGAUGAUGUCCUUGCCGCCGCAGCUAAUGAUCUCCAUGGUGACGCUCAGGUUGCGGUCGCAGAAGGUGAGGUCGUGCGUCCUCAUCACCUCCCUGGCGGCCUCGGCGGAGGAGACCACCAGCGUGGGCACGGCGCCGAAGCGGAGCAUCAUGAGGGGCCCGUAGGUUCCGGACAUCUCGCGCAGCGCCCGGUGAGGCAGGUCGCUGAAGCGCGACAGGAGGAGGUGGUGCAGGCUGCCGAUGAGCGGCAGCUGCCAUGGCCCUGGUGGCAGGCGAAGCGCUGGUGAUGGCUUCGUGCGUGAGGACGUGACGUAGCUCCGGAUGAGCCUGAGGAGGAGGAGGGCGAGGAGGACGACGAAGGCUAGAAACUGGAUUCUCAUCAUGUCCAUAUUUUUGCCGGGGAUGGGACAAGUUUGCAGCCAACUGCGUCUCGACAACAUCGAUGACACGUAUUUAUACUAGGGGCUUGCUACCUGAAUUCUAGUUAUAUAUAUUUAUAAUACUAAUAAAAGUGUCCUUGCAACAAGUAAAAAGGUAUAAUGUUAUCCAUAGUUUUUUAUCUUGAAAAUAAUAAUUUUUCAUUUACAUCAUUAUAUUUUUAUUGCACUCAACAUGAUGCUAAAAAAGCAUAUCAUCACACUAUAAAAAAACAAGUUUUUAGGGUUUCUUCCUCUAUAAUAACCGUUCGAUUUGUACGCCGUGCUAUAUGAGUCCUACGUCAUGUAUGAUCUUACUUUUUUGUAUAACAACCGUUCGAUCUAGAUGUCAUGCUAUAUGAGCCCUCCAUCAUCUAUGAUCUUACAUGUAAGAUUUAAGACCCAUAUUCAAUCUCACAGUAAUGCUACCCAUCAUAAGUCAUAUCCUUCUCUCUUGUGUACUGUCGACUCCCUGAUUUUGACUCGACAUAUUUUUCUUCUAUUUAGUAAUCAAUUGCUUCUUCAUCGUGUAACUUUUGCUAAAGUCGAGACCAAUAGCACACAAUUAAUCAAUAGGAGUACAAACCAAUAACGGUAAAAUUAUUAAGAUAGAAUCAUACUCAUGUAUUCUAACGGAAAAAAUAAUAACUUGAUAGUCACUUGCCCUCCAUAUACAAUGGUCAUUUGCACCGACACGGAAGCUAGCAUUGCUUGAUUUGGCUAGUGUUGAUAUACGAGGCGGACACACAUGGCUACCUUUGCGUGCAUCUUCUUGGCUUCGACAUACUGGUCGUGUGUUUUUUUCUUUUGCUAUUUUCUAGCUAUUUAACAAUUAGUUGUUACUAUCAGCGUAAUUUGUGUAAUUUUUUAUUUGUUUUUCUGAAUUUUAUAUAUUAGUUAUUUAAAAGGAAUGAUUUUAAAUAAAGUUUAUAUUUUAUAAUAAAAGACGUUUCUUCUUUACAUACCGUUUUCAAAUUAUGGCCUGCUUUUUGAUUUUUGGCCUUUUUCUUCUUAUAGCUGUUGCAUGCCCAAUUGCCCAUGGUAAAUCCCAGCGUGUUGCCUGUUGGUUAUGCAAAGUUGUAGGUAGGCUACGCGUUGUCCUUUUCCCAAUUUGAUUUUUUUUACCGUUCGGAGCACGGUUCAGAGGUGUAGAUAGAUAGAGAUAAUUUCCAAACUGAAGAGGGUCGACUUUAAAAACCAUAAUUCGAGUAGAGAUUGGAGUUGAAGGAAAAAUAUUACGGAUCGAAGCCUAUACGGACUGGAUAGGCGAAAAAAAGAUGUCUGCUGGACUGAAAUUUUCAUAAUUAUAUAUUAGAAGAAAGAUUGUAGAUUUCGUUCAUUUUAAUUUUCUAGACAUAAUUUAUAAUUUUCGGUACCGAGAAUAAAAAUUUGUUAGACAAAAUUAUAAAUCUGACAAAUGUAUUUGAUCAAAGUUAAUAUUGUUUGACUCCUGAUAAAUGAGAAUAAGCAUUCUUUUAGGCACGGACAAAGAAAUUUAUCCACAAACAUGCGUGAAGAUGUGCUGUACAUACUAUGUACCCGUACUCCGUGAUGUACAAAACUAGGACCAGCAGAGGCUAAUUGUCUCUAUAGCAGCAGGCUACAAUAAUUUGUCUCCGUGGUCCAAAACGUGGGAAGCCUGUUAAGUGGUUGUUUGGUUCACAUAUUUGUUCACUUGUCUAAGUUGUAUUUUUUCUAACAGCCAACAGUGUUUUUCUUUCAUAAUAAAUCAGCGAAGAAUAUUUUCAACUAUAACUUUUCAGAUCAGCGAACAUGCUAGUCUCAUUUACUUUCAUUUAGUCAUUUUUUAUCUAAACACUAUAACUAAAUGAGGUUAAAUGGACUUUAGUCAUCUCUAGCAAUUCUGGAAUAACUAAAUAAGACUAAACUAUUUAGAAGGGACUAAAGUUUAGCAGCCCGAAAAACACCCGUGAUGUCCAUCCAUCCAUUAUAUAAGUUGUUGCUAGGCAGCUAGGGUCUUAGUAUUUUCGUUUUAUUUUAGUAAUUAGUAUCUAAUUAUGGAAUCUCUAGAUUUAAAAGAUCCAUCUCAUAAUUUAUAGAUAACUUGUACAAUUAGUUUUUUUAUCUAUAUCUAAUGUUGUAUGCAUGUGUCCAAGAUUUGAUGUGAUAGAUGAAAAGUUUUUAGGUGAAACUAAACAAGGCCCAGGUAUAACUAGGGACGGGAUAGAUAUGCAGCCAACUACGUGACGACAAAAUCUCGAGGAGCUGACACAGAUAUAUGGACUAGAUAGAUUUUAAUAAUAUAAUAGUACGUAUCAAUAAUGUAGGAAAUAAUGGUAUACUAUACUAGUUCAUAGGAUUCAACUGAAUAUUUUUGACAACAACGUCGUAUUGUGUUUGAUACUUCCACGCAACUACAGGUUAUUAGUGGCGUCGGUCCACGAAUGUGUACGUGCACGCCGCCUUUCGUUCAAGAUAUACUAUAUGUUAAUUCUGUAUUUGUUUGUAUAUAUAUAUACGCUUAAUUAUAAGACAGCGAUAGGCAACGGAAUAUAUAUAUACACACACGAAGAAAAAUCGCUGGAGUAAAGAUAGAAGCUUGUGUAGAUAUUCUCGCUAUGGAGUAGUAGUUCCAAUCAUAUAUAUAUUGUGCCGCUGUGAGAAGUAGCCAAUCACCAAACAGGAGUGCUCAGCUCACUGAUGGCACGUCGUCUAUCCGUAGAGGCGUAGACGGGUGCAUGAGUGCAAAUGGACAUGCAUGGUUUCGAGGACUUCCCAACACACCCACAGGGCCACAGCCCACAGGUGAUGUUUGUCUCCAUGUUUCCCUCCUAUUUCCGCUGCUAUUAAUUCUCGUUGCUACGUGUUUGUUUCAGCAGCAGCGGAGCCAUUCGCACAAGGGUCGAAUCCGGAUACCGGAAACGUCGUUACCGCCCACUCCAGGCCUUAUCGGUUUAGGGCAUGUACAAUCUAGAUAGGGUCCGUCUCUAAGACCAGUCGCAAUGUAUAGUUUCAUGGUAGUUACCAAGACUAUAAACUAGGUAACCGAGUCAUAUGAGUUUUAUGAGGAUGAAAACUCCUCUCUCAUCUGAUGAGACUGCUUCAUUUAAUGACCCUGUCAAGUCAGCAAUUUUGCUUAUGUGGCACCUUAUUUAAUGUGCAUGAUACUCUCAUGAAACAUGCAUUGAGAUUGACCUAAGUAUCUCGAAUCUAUGAUACAGACAGAUAUAAAGACAGAUUAUACAAUCCAUACUUGGGGGUUCUAAGGCAUUUAAUAAUUUGCAUGUAGCUAAGAUCAACUAUGGAUAUCAACUUGUAUACCACUGUGUGGCCGUUUGAUAGAAGACAAGUUCAAGUAUAAAUAAGAUGAACAUAAUUAUAAUAUUUUAAAACCACUAAUAUAAUAUAUAUUAUAUAUAAAGAUGAACAUAAUUACAUAAGCACACUCAAAGAGGUCAGUCCACCUAAUAAUCUUGUGCCAUGGAUCCUUGCAUUGCUUUAGAUUCCUUUUCCUACGGGGUGGAGCUGUCUUGUUGUAUGAUUGAACAACAUCAGACCAAUAUUGGUUGCCACCUAUAUUAGCUCCACAGGUCGAAACUGUUGAAUGUUCUAUCCAAGAGCUCAUGCAUCAAGCUGACAUCCUCAUUCUUUUUCCAAGGAAUUUGCUUCUCAGUCCUAGCAUUUUCAUCAUCAGUGUCAACUAGUUCAGGCUACUGCUUGUCCACUCUCUCUACUUCUACUGGUAAAAUUUCUUCAUGGUUGUGAACAGGUGCACCAACCUAAAAAUUGUGUGGCUGGUUUCCAAAGUAACUCAUAAACCCACCAGGUGGGCAUGGGUCGUCUUUAUCCCUGCAGGAAACAUAACAUCACUAAAAUGACUCUAUACAACAUUACUUUAAUUUGCACUAUCUGCUUCUCAUUCACACUAACAAAUAUCAAAUAGUUUAUAAGAAACAGAGCAUUAGUUUCAUUCUCAAACAUUUGCAACAAACAUCAUAGACCUUCAAAAGGAUCUAUGACACUACAUGCAGGGAAUAAAAUAUGUCAUUUGUCAACCAUGAUGAUCUGACCAGGAUGAACACACAUGCAGCCCAUAGCCACCCUCCUGCUAUUCUUCCCCAAAUAAGAUGAAACAAAUUGCAAUAUAUACAACUUAGCACAUUCAGCAGCUACCAAAGCUCUGUUCACAUUCAGAUACAGCUAGCAAGUUCACGCAGGUUCACAUUCAGAUAAUAACUAGCAAAGCUCUAUUCACUAACAGAUAAGAUAGAAUUUCACUAACAGAUAGGAGCAAGUCCAGAUCAAUUCACAGGUCAGGUGAUUAACAAGAUGGAUCCCAAGCUGCUGAGCGCACAAACGAAGGAGAAGCUGGAUCAACGUUGGUCGAAUUCCACCAAGCAGUAGAUGGUGAAGUGGGGAAUGGAAACCCACCGAAGACGAUGGAACCGUCGCAGCACUGGGGAAGGCACCUCCACUAGAUGUACCAAUGGAGAUAGGAGGUGUUGCCAUGCUGUUGCUGAGGGAACAGGAGAUGGGGGUACCCCGGUGCCACCACCGCUGAUCCACUUCCGCGACCUAGGGUUCAGCCCAGGGCAUCCGCGCCCAACGAUGAGCCUCCACCACGACUGAGGUUGUAGUUCGACGCCGUCGAGAUGGCUCCGCGACCGAAGGUGUGCACCGGGAACACCGCUAUCGCUGUCGCCGCAGUUGACGCAACAAUGGGGGUGUCCUUGCUCUUCUUGUUUGUGGAAGCUAGUUUGCACUUCCUCGCUGAGGUGCUAAACAUCGCAGCCACCAAAGGUUGGGGUGCCCGAUUGAGAAAGAAAGCUAGAGUGUUGUGGCUGCUUCACCGGUGAAAUAGGGAUGAGGCAGAGACGGAUUUGGCGGGACUGCUCCCUCCCAUGCGCGCCAAAACUUCAUUAGCAUGCACGCGAGUGCCCCAGAUCCGCGCGCCGUCGAGACAAGGGGACGACUCCUACAAUGCUGCUCGGCUGGUCUCCUUUGCAUCGGUGCAUGGGACGGCUCCGUCGCUUCACGAGACGACGGAAUAGUCGUCUUCAGGCCACAACGGCACAACAGAUUUUUUUUGUAAAAGUACCCACGAAAGGACGGGGUGAAGAGUUUUUAUAAAAGUACCCACGAAAGGACGGGGUGAAGAGCCCCGUUGUACAUACCCUUAUUACGCAACUCACGUGAGAAUGGAUAAAGGAUAUCUUAGGUUGGAUCCUAUGAACUAAUAAGUAUAAUUGAAAGUUUAGUCUUUAAAGAUCUAAACAAAUGAACUAGUUAGUGAGCUAACAACUAGCGAAAGCCUCAACUAAUUGUUACUUCACUAGCAUAUAGAGCCCAACUAGUUGGGCUAAUCACUAAUUCUAGUUCAUCCAAACAGCUCCUUAACCAACCAAACAAAUUGUCGUUUUUCAUUUCAGGCAACAGGUAGGGGCGGCACCCAUUUUCAUUUGCAGUACAGCCCCGAACUAAACAGAGAAAGAGAGACACACAUUUGGCGGCCAAAAAAUCUGGGUUUUGAUCUAUCAUUUUGCAUAAUAAAACUAAACAUCAUGCAAAAAUUUUUAGCAAAAAAAAUUAUUCUUCAUUUUGGAUUUUGGUCUCAGGAGGCCAAAAGCCCAAAAGAGUUACAAGAGACCAUAAUAAGAGCAAUAAAUUCUGUAUUCUAGACAAAACUAAAUAUAACCUUAAAAAUGUUAGUAUUUAGUAUUUUAUCAUUUCAAGGUAGUCGGCAUUUUGCAUUUUGCAUUUUAUGGGAAAUUAAACACCCCCUAGCACAACCAAAUCGUCAACUCCCAACACUGCAGGCUUGAUGGAGCAUCAUUACCACGCUUCGGUUGAAGCUAAGAGCUGCAAAGCAUUUGCCAGUGCCAUUACCACCACCAUUUCAUGUUGCAUGGCUUGACCGGUCGUAAGAGUCCCAUGCACGUCGCAACUCGCACAGGCAUUGCUCUUGCUCGCGGUGCCAUGAUUGCGCCUUUCACAAACUCAUAGUUGAUCAAUUGGAGCACUUGCGAUUAUUGAAUCAUUAUUGUACUACCAUUUAGUAUGAGAUUUGAAAUUUACUUAAUUUAAUUGGAUAAAUAACAGGCCAUAUCUAAUUAAUUAAGUCCAAGAGCUAACAAUUCCAGGCUGUAAUUAAUUGUGCGAGAUGAUGUGUUCCUAGUCCACGAUGACCUUGAGAAGGACAUUGAGGAAGACGAAGGCUGCAAACGAGAUCCUAGUUUCCAUAUCUGCCAGGGAUGGGAUUUCGGUGAGCUAGCUUAAAUAUAGAGUAUUAUGGCAUCUAGAAAUUAACAAUAAUACAGCAAUGCUUUACAGCACUCAAGUGUUUUACAGCAAUUCAACACUCAAUUCCUUUCUGUUCUCUUCCUCUCCCUCUCUUCUUCUCUAACUCUGGCAAGCUUAGAUGAGACUGUGGGAGGCAGGUCGGCCAAAUGGUGGAAACGGCAGGAGGACGACGGUUAGAGUUCCAGCGGUGUAGGAGGCGGUCGAACUAGGUCAGGGCGAGGGCAUCUAUGGCCAUACGACGGUGAGGGGAGGAGAAGAAGAAGGUUGUUGUGGGCGUAAUAGGGUCUCAUCGGAGCUCAAGACCCUACUGCACUGAGGCGGGGCAGUGGACGACGGUAGGGCAUCGGGAGGAGGAAGAGGACGAUGAAGAAAAAAUCAAGUGUUCUCGAGAGCCAAAACACUCAAGCGACAGAUGAUAGAUCCUAAUAUAGAAAUGCAACAAUGUAUCCAAAGUAUGGAGGCACUGCUGUGUUUGUUAUUCCCAUCCUAGAGGUAAUCUUUGGUGUCCACAGGGAGAUAUUUAUUUUGUUCGUGCCUCUCGAGCCUCACCAUAUCAAUUCUAAUUAUGUUUCCGUCUAAUGCUCCGUAUAUAUAAUACGCUAAUAAGAUAGUGAAAUAGACGAAACUGAUCGACACAUUAGGUUUUUUUUACAACAAAUAUUUUUCAUUUGAGCAGCAGGACGCUGCAAUCAGUCUAACAGACUGAAGGUUUACAUCUAUCAGAUGCAUCAGGAAUGGGCACUGAUAGGUAAGGCUCUGAUGAGAGCAUACAUGAUGGAAGAAAGAUUCAACAGGAACAAUAACUGAGAAAGCCUGUCUAUCUAAAGCAUAUGUUGUAUUAUUUAUGUUCCUAUUGAUUUUGAAGAUCAUGGCAUGACAUUGAUCACCUGUGUUCCUGAACAUCUGGGUGAAAAAGGUUUUAUCCUCCAGUCUACAGGAUGUUCUUGGUCAUCUUCAUGUAGGAAUUGUACUAGCUGCUGGUUAUUAGUGAGAAAGGUGGUGUCAGUGAAGUUGAGUCGUUCACUAACAACUGCUGCUAGAGCAAGUGCUACAACUUCCGCCAUGAGGACUGAGUGGACUUCCAAGGCUUGUGCUGUGAUGUAGAUGGUUUGUGUGGUUGUACCUAUGGAUUGACAAAAAAUCCCAAGUCCUAUAGCUAUAUACUGCCUGGUUGGUUGGUCAUACCUUAAGGAGGCAUCAAUGAAGCAUCUGACUCCUUGGAUGAGCUCCAAUAUAGAGAUGAAGUAUUUGUCUGUCUAAGGUGAAGCUCUUGCAUUAGAUGUGAUAAUACCUGGUGAAGUCGGGGUGGCUUGAUUUGUGAGCAUCAUUUUCUAGGGGGUUUGUGCUUGUUGUUCCUCCAUAGGGUGUGAGGUGCAGGUUCCUCCUGUUGGUGCUGCAUGUGAUCAGGUGCAGGCGUCUCCAUCUGUUGAGGUGUGUGGCUGUGAUCCUACGAAGUAAUAGCAAUGGCAGUUUGCGUACCUUGUGCAGUCAUUUGUGGGGGUUGAGGUGGGAUAAGUAGAGUGUCGGUUUGGUGGCUGCUAAUGUGGGCUACGACCACAUGGUGUACCUGCCAUGGAGUCCAAGUUUUUCUGUGAAAUCAAAUAUCAUUCCUAGCUUUCCACAAAUACCAGAAAGUGAUUAGUAAUUUGUUGAAUACAGUAGAUGGGAUGGCGGCGGGGAUGAAGCUUGGUAGGAUUAGUUGCACGCCAUUAGUAUCUUGAGGUAAAUUGUCAGUGCAAAGAAGGGGAUUUGAUGAGAAUACUGUUGUGGGAGGUGAUAGUGGAAGAAUAGGUGGGCAUCAUCCUCCACCACGCCAUAGGAACAUAGUGCUUGUCUAUGUGGGGGAGUAUCUCGCUGCUUGUUUUGUUGUAGCUAGGGCUCUUUUGAUGAGUCUCCAAGUGAAGGAUUUAACUAGAGAUGGUGGCUCCUUACUAUUCCAUUCUCUCUGCAUAAUGGAGUUAGCAUGGGGUCCACCUCAAGAUGUCAUGACCAUCACUAUGAAUAGUUGGUGUUACAGUUAUGACCUGUACAUCCUAAGCAUCAAAGAUGUUAGUGAUGAGGUGAACAUUCGUGUUAUGGGAAUUUGGUUGCUAAAGAUUAGAGAAAUGGUUGGCAUUGGAGAUUGAGUAGCUAGCAGGAUCAUGUGGUCAUGGAUAGAGUUCCGAAUGGGCACCAAGGGGUGGACCAUAUAGAACUGUUACUUGAAUGGAUCUAGUAGACAGAGUUGGAGCGAAGUUUAGUUUUGACCUACAAAAUAGAAGACCAGAAGAUUGAUCUAGGACCAGUGGUGUUGGCUUUCCAAAAGGAGGUGUUGUGGAACUAUUUAGCCUUAAGGACAGAGGUGAGCAUGGGGUUUUUAUUAGUAGCAAUGUUUGCCAAGACCCCCAUUCUUCUUGGGCUAGCAAAUGUCUUCCCAAGACAUGAACGCAAUGGGAGAUGUAGGGUUGUCUUUCUAGACUCUAGUGCACCAAAAUUUCCUGAUUAUAGUGUUGAUUUUACCUAUCAUAGUAUUAGAAAAUAGCACAGUACACAUGUAGUAUACAGGGACCAAAGCUAGGACAGAUUUGAUGUAAGUCAGUCUCCCUGCAUGAUUAAGCUUGUUAGCUUUCACAGUAGUUAACUUAGCUCUAAAUUUUUUAAGAAUAAACUCAUAAACCUUAUUCCGAUCAUUACGAUUAAAAUAAUCAGGUGGCCCAAGGUGCAUGCUAUUAGGAAGGAGGUCAGGGGUAGGAAAGAUGUUCCUGAUAUCAUUUCUAGUGGUCAAAGGCACCUUUUUACUAAAAAGGAUUGAGGACUUCUAAAGAUUGGGAGUUUGCCUAGAGAGGUGGCAAAAGUCUUGUAAAAUGUCCCAGAUUUUGGUGGCUUCAAUGAUGGAGGCCUCGCCACAUAAGAUUAGAUCAUCAACAAAGAGAAGAGAGUGAAUGGGAGGGCAACUAGGACCAAGGGAAAUGCCCAAAAAAUUGGAGUAAUGAGUUCAGUUUGAAGGUGAAUGGAUAGCUCAUUGGUGGCCACAACAAAAAGACAAUGAGAGAGGGGGCAGCCCGGGCGAAUACCAUGAUGGGGAGUGAAGGAGGUGGAAGGCUCUCCAUUGAUAAGGAUGGAGAAAGUAGUAGUGGAAAUACAAGCUUGAAUGAGGUUGGUGAAAUUGGAGGGCAGCCCAAGACGAUUUAGAGAGUCCCAAUUCAGACAAUCAAACGUUUGGCCAGGUCAAGCUUGAGAUAAAAAAGCUUGCUGGUUCCAGUUUUUUAGGUUGGAAGAGAUGUGCCUGUGUUUUGAUGAAUGCAACUUAAGAUUAUUGAGUCAAUCGACAGCAACUUUGGCGUUUAGUAGAACACAGCAUGGUGCCAAGAUGAUACUACGAUGUCAGCAAAAACUUGUGGGAUCCACCAUUUAGUAAACGAUUAAAGAAAUUUUGAUUUCUUUUUUGUCGUUUCUGCACACCUCCAUGCCUACCAUACGUGUACUGUGUUGUUUUCAGUGGCGGAGGCAGCUGGCAAGGUUCGGCCUCCGCCGUACCUAAAAUGUAUAGAAAACACUAGUAUAUUAUGUGUAUAUACGGUUAUACACGUGAAAUAUACAUGGCUUAGCCUCUGCCACUGUGCACGAAUAGAUUUUGUUUGUGGGCUGGUAUCUCGUGGGCUUACACGACUACGAGCCCGUUCGCUUCUUAGCUGUACUUUUUUUCAGUGAUUUUUUUUUGACCAGCGAAUAGGCUCUAUGUCAAAAGCCCACGACACUAUCCAUAGAAGGAAGCAGCUCAUUGGUCUUCCUGCCUUCCUGGCUGGUCGACUACUCCAGGUUUUAGUGGCCGACUUGUUUAGUUUCAAUUUUUUUUAGCAAAAUAGAUACUGUAGCACUUUUGUUUGUAUUUAACAAAUAUUAUUCAAUUAUAGACUAACUAGGCUCAAGAGAUCUGUCUCGCAAAUUAUAGACAAACUGUAUAAUUAGUUAUUUAUUUUAUUUAUAUUUAGUGUUUCAUGCAUGCAGUGGCGGAGGCAGGAUUUUUGCUUGGGAUAUGCCAAACAAAAAGUUUUCAUAUACAAAUCGGUAAAAUCUAUUUAGCAAUUCGGUAGAAUUUUAUAAAAAAAAUGUCUAACAAUUCGGUACACAACUGUUAAGGCCUUGUUUAGUUCCAAAAUGGACAUUGUAGUAUUUUCGUUUGUAUUUAAUAAAUAUUAUCCAAUCAUAGACUAACUAGGCUCAAAAGAUUUGUUUCGCAAAUUACAUGCAAAUUGUGCAAUUAUUUUUUAUUUAUAUUUAAUACUUCAUAUAUGUGCCGCAAGAUUCGAUGUGACAAAGAAACUUUCAAAAUUUUGCUAAUUUUUUGGGACGUAAACAAGGCCUAAAUGGCAUAAGUCGUGCGUCCAUGGUGUGUUUGAAAGGAGCGUCCGAGAGCAGGUGCGAGACGAAUACCGAGGUCUUGUUUAGUUCUUCUAUGGUCUCCAAUGGGAGGGUUAGCUGAUCCACAUUAGUUAACCACUACUCCACAUUGGGCAAAGUGAUUUUGUUAACGCACGUAGCCACGGUAAAUCAUAAUUAAAGAGCCAUCGUGAUCAACUUUCAUUAUGUGAGCUUGAACAAAAUGAUCAACAUCAAGAGUUGGCCUACAAAUAAUUGUAGAGCUUUGCUAAAUUUCCACACCCUUUCUCCCACUCCAAAAAGCCAAAGUGCUCAAUCCUUAAGCAAAUCAUUCCACCAGGAGAACAAAAGCAAUGUUGUGGUGAUCAACAUCAAGGUAUAUCUGUAGAGCUUUGCUUUUACCGGUUAACGUGCAAUAUGAGUGCACAAUUAUGUUUAGGAUAGAUUUAUUAAGCUAAUAUUGUUAUCUAGUGCCACUAGGUGGGGACUAACAAUACACAUGUGUUAGACUCAGUGACAUGGUGAGGAAGCAAGUGAAAACCUUUGAAAAUGCAAACUCAGUGCUAAAGGUGUUAUUGUUCCGUCUGCCACAUUUGGGAGAUAUCAUAUUUGAAAAAGGGUUUAAGAGAGGGGCUUGGUGAGAUGGUUUGAAUAGUCACUAGAUAAGUCCGGUGGUCAUCAGAGCUUAGGCACACCCACUUUACUAGUCUAGUCAUCAGGCUGUCUCACUCUGUAGUGGGCCACCAAAAAUAUCCAUGCCUCUAGGUCCGAGCACUAAAGUUUAGGCUCCUUCACUUUGGGAGAGAAGGGGACGCUGGACACGAGGCAACAAUCGGCAAUGGCUGCAAAGCACACAAAGUUUAGAAGGAUAAAGGAAGACGACUAGAGGAGGUUAAAUAGUCAUUUCUAUAACUAAAUCAUGAAUCCUAGGCAAAUAAAUAACAUUAAUAAACUAUUUGUCACUUCCCACUAUAACAGCAGAAAUAAAACAACAGAGAUAAUCUAUUUUCAUAACAAUACAAUAAAAGGUACAUGACUCAUUAUUUCCAUGAUGAUUCCAUCCCUACCUGCGAGCGUGGAAAGCCUAAAAAGCCUCUCUCCACGGCCUUCCUAAAAAAAGCCCACCUGGCCACCUGUAGUUCAAUAUAAGCUACUGGAGAAGCUAGGCGUUUGGUCCAUCUCGAACCGCUUUUAAAGCUAAACAGCCCAAUAACCCAUUUCAAACAAGGUCGAAGCCCAAUGAGGCAGGUGGCCCAAAACCUGACCCGAUUCUCUCCCAAUUCUUUUUCCUCGUGUUGGAAUCGGAAUUGGAAUUGGAAUUUGUACGUAGUGGCGGCGAUAUCUGGUUCAGAGUGGGUGUUGAUUCGUGGAGAGCAGCUGGUCGGGCCCAUCCGCGCAGUUGGCUUGGCUUGGCCGCUGCCGCCCGUGCUCGCACCGGCCGCCCCACCUCCAUCUUCCCAUGGUGGUGGUAUCAUCCCCCCCCUUUCCUCUUCCUCCUCCCCACGUGCAACCACCUAACCCCUCUCCCACCGCCCUCCUCGCCUAGCCCGCCGCCACAGCGGCCGUCGACGAGCGCCAUGCCCGCCGCGGCGUCCACCUCCGCGACCUCGCUGCUGCUGGGCGGCGGCAGGCUCCCGCGGCUCCAGCUCCAGUCCCUCCGCGCCCCCGCCAAGCCCCCCUUCCGCCGCCCGGCCUCGUCCCCGUCCACACCGCUCCCCAGAUGCCGCGCCAGCGCGAGCCCCCGCCCUCUGGGCCCCGUCUCCGCCUCCGCCCUCGCGCUGCCCGUGUCGGUGACGGCCGCUCCCCCACCGCAGGUGGAGGAUGGUGGCUGGGUGGGAGGCGCGGCCGCGGCCGCGGCCGUGAGGAGAGUAGCUGUGGCGGUGGCGUGCGGGGCGCUCGCGGCGGCGUGGUGCCGCCGGGCGAUGGCUGUGGGGGCGGCCACGGCGGCGGGAGCGGGAGCGGGGGCCGGGGCCGGGGCGACGGGGGCGGUGGAAGCUGCCGCGGGGAUUGGAGGGAUGGCGCUGCACGGGGGCUGGCCGAGAGUGCUGCAGAUUCUGCAGCUGCUCAGGGAGCAGGGCCUGGUUCUGGCCGCGCUGCUCGGCCUCUCUGCGUUCUUCUCCAUGGCAGAAACUUCUAUCACGACGCUUUGGCCUUGGAAGGUGCGUUCAGCAAGUCUACGGAGACCCAUUUUCUUAAACUCCUGUUGUUGCCAUAGUAAUUACUGUACGUACGCGAAAUGAACUAUGCUUCCAGUUUUGCAAUCGGUUUGGUUCACUGAGCUACGAGGUAGGAUAUUGGGAGAUUUUUGGAUACUUAGAUGAGCAGAUUGGUAUUGGUGUAGUGUUGCUGCUAAGAGGGGAUGCUGAGAUGGGGUGAGUGUCUUAUGGGUACGUCCUUGUAUCAACUACUAUACUCAUUCUAAAUGGGUUUAUGCAAUGAGUAUUUGUAUGAACAAAGCAAACGGAUACGCACUAGCUUAGGCUGUUGGGUUGGGCUGUGGCAUGUGUGGGUCGAGGAUGUGGCGGUUGUCAUGCACAUCCUGCUUCAGCAGUGAUGUGAUAAUUUUGUCUCGCUUGCUGAUGACAUAAUCCACAGCACAAGUUUGUAUUUGAGAAGUGAUGUCACUGCUGGGAGUGUUGCUGAAAGACAUGGGGAAAGCAUUAUUGCUCCUUCCUUUUUUUUGUAGGAUAGAGGGCUGAGCAGCAGGCAUAACUGAUUGACAAGCUGACAACAGCAAGGUGCUUCAGAUAUAAUGACAGUGUGCACAUGCGCUUUAGUGACAUGUUGUGCUAGUGAUCUGUAGGAGAAUUAGGCAGGGAAUCUAUGCAAGGAAAGUUUUUAUUAUUUUGAAACUGGAACUAAUGACACUGGUAUUGGAUUACCGGUCUUACUGACUUUAUAUAUAAUCUCCCUUCACACCUAAUCUCAUCAACUGGAUAGGUAUUUCUGGUUCAGAAUAUUUAUAGCUUUGAACAGAACAUUGGUGCUCUUGUAACUAUCAUUAAAGGGGUCCUGCCUCUUUGUUCAUGUUUAUCAACAUUUAAAUUCAAUUCUAAUUCUUCAAAGACUACAACAAGGUGAUCAAUGUAAAUUGAUGGCUGGAUUCGGUUAAUCACAUGUUGAACUUGCAUUUUAUUUUUAGUAGAGGUUUAUUUGCAAGCACAGGAAUAAUGAAGCCCUAGGUUUAGUGCAUUUUUUCCCUCCAGAGUUGAGCCUAAGGAUUCAAGUUCACUGACACUUAUCAUUGUGGGUUCAAGCAUUUGCACACAUAUUAGCAUAUUGAAAUGGCUAAAGUAUUAGAGGUUGGUGCUAGAGUCUUUCCAUAACAGCGCACUUGGGACUGAAGUUUGAUUCAUGCAAAAUUUUUCAAUUGAAUCAUGCUUGAUGUUCAAAAACUAGCAAGAAUCAUAGAAAUAGCAACACUGUAUUGUGUAAUAGGUUGCAUACCUUUUCCCCCUUUGCAUUUGUUUAUUUUUCUAACGUUGUUUGGAAAUUGCCACAUCAAGGCCUAAUUUUCUAGUGAUCUGCCUAGCGCCCAAUAGCUAGCUAGCCUCUCUACUCAAGCAUUGAGGCAUCACCCCCUUCUACCCACCUAGGGCAUUUUCAGAUCAGUGUUUUGAAACUUUGCUUCGUAGUGGUACUCUUUUCUUAUUGUAACUGACUGUAUGCUGAGAGCGAAUAUCUAUAUGCUGAGACUUUGCUGAUUUCUUUUUUCCUUUGCAUUAGGUUCGUGAACUAGCUGAGAAGGAACCUGAGAAUGGUGUUUUCAAAAUGCUCCGAAAUGACGUCACUCGUUUCCUGACAACUAUUCUCAUUGGCACAACGUAAUCCAUGGCAUUUCUAAGUUGUGCAUCACUCAUUGCAAUUUUGUUUUACUAACCCUAAACCCUAAUCUCGGGCAUAAUUUGUAUGAAAUAGUGUGGUCAACAUUGGCGCAACAGCAAUUGUUACUGAGGCAGCAACAGCAAUGUUUGGUGAAGCAGGUGUUAGUGCAGCAACAGGUGUCAUGACAGUAUGUCUCCUGUCUCAUACUGGCCUUCUGCUCUUGUGUAAGUGUUCUUUAAUCUAACUAUGGAGCACCAUUUUUUAGGUUGCCAUCUUACUUCUUACAGAGAUCACUCCCAAAAGUGUUGCAGUCCAUAAUGCCACCGAGGUCGCUAGGUUUGUGGUAAGGUGAGAGAUAUCAAGUAUAACUUAGUUUCAAACAUGUUUAUUUUGAGUACUGAACAUUGUGCAUUUGUUGCGAUAUAUCAGACCGGUCGCAUGGCUUUCGCUGAUCCUCUAUCCAGUUGGGCGGAUUGCUACUUUUCUGUCUAUGGGAAUGCUAAAGAUUCUAGGCCUGAAAGGGAGAAGGUAAGACUGUAAGAGUAUGUAUAAUACUCUAGUUCUUGAUCAACUAGAAGAUAAAUUCUUUGAAAAUAUGCCAACUCAAUAAGCUCAUGUUAGUCAUAGAUUAUAUCCCCCAUUAGUUAUGAUAUGCUUUCAAGAAGGAUACACAAACAAUAAAUUAAUUCAUGCCACAAGAACCACACAGAACUCUUUUUUAAGAGCAUAUGGCUUGCUCUGCGUAGUGGAUAUAACCAGGGAAGCACAAGGAUUGAGUUUCUAGGUGUGUGUGGGUUCUGCUCAGGUGGGCAACUCUAGCUUCAUCCAUCUGUAUCUUUUUCUUGAUGAAAUGGCAUGCAGCUCUUUUGCGUCAUUCGAGAAAAAAUAACCAGGGAAGCACACUGAUUGAGUUCCUGGUUCCUGCCAAAUAAAAUCUCACCUGUUUUCUUUUAAAAAUGGAUUAAACUUGUAUAUUACUAGAAUUCAAGUACAAAUGAGAUGGUACAACAUGGACUAGAUUAGACUAGUUUGAGUAUGUGUUGAGUCUAGUUUAUAGGGUGAUAGUUGUACUUUCUAAAAUUUCUAUAAUUAGUAAAUAGUGCAGUGACUAUAUUUUUAAUCAAUAGAUGACCGUUGACACUAUUCCAAGAAUUGCAUAUCAUCUGUUAUUGUUCAUGAAGGAUCUAAUUCUAGUUUGAAUUUGCUAGAAACUUAUUGAUUGCUUUCUGUAUAAUUUAGUUUACAAAUUGAAUUUAGUAUCUGAUAUUGUAAUACAAUACACAUUUGUAUGUUAUUUUUUGCAUUUUUUUUACAAAAUCCAGUACUCAAGUACAUUGAUUUGCUAUGUCUUUUAGUUACUACAUUUGUAUAUGUUUAACCAAUAUACAAUUGAGAUUCCUAUAUAGAUAAGAUUUAGUUUUUCUUUUUCAUAACUCUUGACAUUUCUGGAGAUCUACUUCUGAAUCUUGUGCAUCAUAUACACUUCUUUCCUCAGUGAACCAUAUGUUACUGAAGAUGAACUGAAGUUAAUGUUACGAGGAGCAGAGUUGAGUGGUGCAAUUGCAGAAGAUGAACAGGUUAGACAAUCUAGUAUAUGGAGAUGCCCAUAUAUUGUGCUGCAUAUUUCCUUCUUUAUUCUUUAUGUUUCUGUGUACCUCACAGCAAGAUUUUGUUAUCCAGUGCAAUCUAGGCAAAGCCUUUACUUACAAUUUUUAUAUCAUAUAGAAAGCUGACUACUUACAUAAAUAAAGAGUGAAUUAAUGAAAUUUCAGGAAAAUAGUAACUAACGUUUUUGCAUGAUUUUAACUGCUAAUUUAAUGUUUGUACACCAUCUCAUCACAUAUAUCCAGAAUUUGAAAAGCAGUAUGGCCCCAAAGGUUUGAGUUAGAUUAUACUGUUGCAGACUAGGAUUUUGCCUCUUGAUAGUUUACUAGCACACUUUGGCUACUUCUUUGUUUUCUUGAAAACGCAGGAGAGCUGCACUUCAUUAUAUUAAGAGGAUAAAGGGCAAGAGCCCGAACAACCCCACAAACACCAUACACACACCACACACAUCACACACUCACGCCCCAACAGAAAUGUUACAUUCGCGCCCGUAAGAAAACACACAACGCGACCACUACUAGGCUAAACAUUUCUAACUAUCGGGGAGGAGGGCAGUCAAGAAUGAUAGCUCUCGAGCUGCUGCCAUAGACCAUAAACGGCGCUCCUCGCCUGCUAUGAUCAGAGCGCCAGCAAGGUUUGGAGCUGCUCCAUCAAAGACACACCCAUUGCGAUGGUUCCAUAUAGUCCAAGCUCCGAGCAUAACAAGAGAAUUAAUUCCUUGCCUUGUCAGCCCAUCAGCAGUGCUGCUAGCCUUCUCCCACCAAGCAUGGAAGGAUAAUUCUGUAAGCUGAGGGGACAAAAGCCUGAUUGAACCAAAAUUCUCUUGUGAACACACAAUGGACAAGUAGAUGGUCGAUAGUCUCCUUUUCAUGGUCACAAAGGAGGCAAUUCUCCGGAUGAGGUAACCCUCGGCGUGCUAGACGAUCAGCUGUCCAGCACUUAUUGUGCGACCAGCCACAUAAAGAAACGGCAUUUGGGCAGCACCCAUGAUUUCCAAAUCUUUUCCCAUGGUCCAAAAAGAGUAGAUCCGAAAAAGAAGCCUUCAUAUGCCGAUUUAGCCAAGUAUUGUCCAUUAGAGGAGAGCCUCCAUAGGUGCUGCAGCUGAAAAUCCAGAAGUAGAUCCCACCAUAAGUGAAAGUAGUCAACAAACCCACCAACUGUGAGCGCUCCUUGUAUGUCCAAAAUCCAAGCCCGGUUAGUAAGGGCAUCCUGGACAGUAUGCUGCUUAACCCUCCUUUUAGGAGUAGCCACAAAAAGUCGAGGGGCAAGAUCUGCAAUGCAUUGCCCAUUGAUCCGAUCUGUCCAGAAAAGAGUGUUUGCACCAUCCAAUUUCAGAAGUUACUGCCACUGAGUAGAAGGCUCUUACUUGCUUCGGCACAUGGAAUGGUAGAGCAGCCCAAGGACAAUGAGGUUCUGUUUUCUGCAGCCAAACCCAUCUCGUGCGCAAGGACCAGCCAAGGGUUUUUAAAUCUGAAAUUCCCAGGCCUCCAAGCUCUGGUGGGCCACAGACUUUGACCCAAGCCACAAGACAAUGACCACCUUUUUGCAUAUUUUCGACCCCUCCAAAGAAAGCCACGCCAAAUUUUAUUUACCACUUUGAUAGCCAUGGAGGAAAGUCGAAAGCAAUAGCUAAGUAAAUGAGCAUUCUCAGUGAGAACUGAUUGUACUUGAACCCUUCUUCCAGCCCUUGUCAUUAGGUCUGCCUUCCAGCCAGGAAGUUGAUCUGCAGUACGAUCAAUAAUAGGCUGCACUUGUUUCUUUAGGGAGAGGGGCAGACCUAAGUAUUUGCAUGGGAAAUCCGAGAGGGGCACACCUAGCUAGUUUCUUUGGCUACUGUUAUCCUUUAGGUAUUUUGCAGAACCUUUCCAUAGCAAUCCCAUUAAUCUUUAGGAAGCGAUCCCAUUUGUUAAAGCCCCUGCAGGCAACUUUCAAGUUCAUUAUUCUCGAUCACAGGUAGUCAUUCUGCAUAUUUUUCCCUCAGAAUCAUCAUAAGAAUUGGGUUAAGUGGAUAGGUCAGACUAUAGCAUGGAAAUACAUAAGUACUGAUAGGUUGUUGAAACUAUCUAAGACUACAGAUUUAUCGUGUCAAUUUGUCACAAAUAACAGAUUUUAGCUGAUGAAAUCAGUACUUCUGCAGUACAUAGAAAUACUAAAUGUGUAGUUUUAGUUUUGCAAAAACAAGGACACUAAAUUUAUAAUUCUGUGAUAAAACUUCUUAAAUCUGUAGUUUUGUGAUAGCAUAGCCCACUCACACAUAUACAAAAAAAAAGAAAAAGAAAAAAAGGAACCAUAUAGUUAUUUAUGUGCUUAGAUUCUAGGCCCUAGAACUAGAACCUAUAGCUGUGUUACACUAUUAUGAAUUCCUAGUCCGUGCCUGCUUGUGCAGGACACUUUUCUACUUGAUCAGCUAAAGUCAGCACCUGAGUCUUUUAACAGGAUAUGAUCGAGAAUGUCCUGGAAAUUAAAGAUACACAGGUGAGGGAAGUAAUGACGCCUUUGGUGGACGUAGUUGCAAUUGAUGCUAUUGCAACACUUAUUGAUUUCAAAAACUUGUGGGAAACUCAUCAGUACUCUAGGUAUUGUCAACUAUUAUUGUCGCGUGUAUUUUCAAGUCUUAUCACUGACAUCUGCUGCUAUUUGUUAUUUCCAGAGUUCCUGUAUUUGAGGAGCGCAUAGAUAAUAUUGUUGGAAUUGCAUAUGCAAUGGACAUGCUUGAAUAUGUUGAAGAGGUAUGUCUCUUGUUUACCAUUUAAUGUAAAACUUAAUCACAGUGAGUCUUAUUUGCUCCACAUGAUGCUUCUCUAAAGGGAAAGUAAAAGGUGUAUUUUUCUUUUGAAGGUUGAGAAGCUGAAUGAAAUCACUGUUAAGAAAAUCGCACAUAUGCCUACAUACUUUGUUCCAGGUAAUUUUUAGUAACAUUGUUGGAUACAAGUAUCAUGAUGAACUAAAAGAAGGCAUCUGUCAGUAGUUAUAGGGUUGGAUGUUUUUCCACAACAAUUAAUCAUUUCUGCCACAUGUUUUCUCCCAUCUAUGCAUCAUGGAUGUAACAUAUGAUACUGUUUCAUCUGGCAGAUUCAAUGUCUGUUUGGAACCUAUUAAGAGAGUUCCGGAUCAGGCAGGUUCAUAUGGCAGUGGUCCUUAAUGAAUAUGGUGGAACUAUUGGUGUAUGUCCCUAUGAAACCCAUUUUUUAUACUUUACAAACUGGACACAGUUUAGUACUUGUUAAUAUUCUUGUUAUGCUUUCAUCCAAGGCUAGUUGCUCAAUUGAGACCAUUUUGACUUAUGGCACACAACGAGGUUCAACAUUGUUUACUCCAAUCAAUUUUUAGUUGUAACUUCCAAGCAUGCUAGUUAGUUUGCUAAUAAUUGAUGAAUGCUAGUCAGUACAUGGUGACAUUUUGAUGGCCAUUUAUUGGCAACACUACUGGCUUUUGUUCCACAAUGGUCGUGUUUUUAGCACAAGCAUGUGGUGCGAUGCUUCAAGUGAUCUUGCUGCACAGCUUAUGUAACUGCAGCAAUGGGGCACUUUUCAUCUGUUGCAGUAGCAGUCCCUGUUGUUCAUGGUUUGUUUCCUUUUAAGAUAUACCCCACACAUAGAGAUUAGUUAUGCUCCAUGCAGCAGAGAUUAUUACUUUCCACAAGUUUAGAGAUUGUUUCUUAGGAAGUAGUUAUGCUCACAGUUUGUUCAUCAGUUUCUGUUUUCAGAAGUAGUUGAUGAGCGAUGAACAUGUUUUGAUUAUGUUUGCUGCUGAAAGGAUAAUUCUUUAAGAUGUUUUUCUCAUUACUGAUGCUCAUUGGUAAAAGUUGCAAAUGAUUGGACAAAGCUACUACCCGUGAGCUUCCUUUGUCUCACAUACCCUUCGAGCAAUUACGCUUUAAUGUAGCAAUAUCUAUCCAUUACUUGCAGCAACUAAGUCCUAUUGUAUUCAGAAAUGUUUAUUAGAACAGUUUGUAAUUUCAUAUGUUUAUCACUGCAUGGGACAUUGGGAAUUACUCUGACCUUUGGCCAAAAAAAAAUGCAGAUUGUAACACUAGAAGAUGUAGUGGAAGAAAUAGUUGGUGAAAUAUUUGACGAGAAUGAUUCCAAGGUGAUUAUUUCUGGAAUUUUUUAUUUCAAAUCGCAAGUGGGUGUUCAGUGCCAUACAUAUGCAUGCUAUUAUUUUCUAUUUCUUUUUCAAAAUUAUUUCCCCCUUUCUUUUGGUUUAUUAUUCCCUUUUUGCCUUGUAACUAUCGUUCUUAUAUUACAUAACUGACUUUUCAUAUGUUGGUAAUAAAUAAUGAUAUGCUAGCAUUUGAACUUACGAAAUUUAGUGGGCCAAACAUACUGAGCCAUGCCAAAAAAGACAGGCAAAUCAUACAGUCAUAUUUUAGCAGCAGCAGUGCAUUAGCGCGGUGGGUACUGAGCCGGAGUUUGCAUGUGCCUGAAGGUGGCUGAAUGAAUAAGGUGGAUAUUACCCUACCCGCACCCAAAUCAAAAUGUGUAUUUUAUUUCUACCCAUACCCUCCCCAAUUAAUGCGGGUGUGGAUUUGAAUAUGGGGAUUGAAUAUCCAGCGGCAGGUAUAAAGAUUAGAUCUCCUGCCUCAGUGCUUCUCCAAGAUCUGGAAGCAGCUGCUUCACUCCUAUUUUCUGUAUCCUAGUCAAAACAAAGGAUUUUUCCAUGUAGCAAGCUAGUUGCUCUUUGUCAUUUGCUUAGGCAGUCUCUCAAUUCCUUCUGCUACUCUGUUUUUCACCCUUUCAGGAGGAAAUCCAGAAGAAAACAGGCUAUAUAGUGAGGCGGGGAGAUGGAACAUUUGAUGUUGAUGCAAAUACAUCAAUAGAUCACCUCUCUGAAGAGCUUGGUAUCAAAAUACCAGAGGUAUUGUUUCUCAUUUGAUCUUAGCUUUCUCUACAGUUGCUAUGCAUUCCCUUGGACAUGUGUAUAUUUAAGGAAGGUAUGGCUCGGAAAAUAGUAGAUUGAUUAUGAGUAGUACAAAAGGGUAGGCAAGGAUGAUCUGGGAUUUAUAGAACAAUACCCAAUCAGGGAGAUCCUUGCCUAAUAGCUAAUCAACUACAUAAAACCCAUGGAGGCAGGCUUAGGUGCCAGGGCCCAUGCGGCCAGCCCAAUAGCCCUCUGGAAACUCCAUUCUAACAUAUAUGUUGGAGUGGACACUGUAUGAUGAUCAUCGAAAUGUGAGUUCCAUCAUUUAGAGAUGCCUGGUUUGCAGAACCUAUACAGAUAUAACGUUAUUAUAUCUAUUUUUUGGUGGAAACUGGACAUUUAAUAUUUAGGUCAACAAAAUAUUCACAAAUGUUCUGUUUGUAAAAUAUGCCCUUGGUAGUCAUCAUUUAUAUGGUGCUCUGUAUUUCUGUCAUGUUUCUCGUAGAUUGGCUGAUAAUCUUGAGACACUUGGACACUAUCUUUUGGCAGGGGCAUCAGUAUGAGACGGUGUCUGGUUUUGUCUGUGCAUCUUUUGGCUAUAUUCCAGAAGAAGGUGGGAAAAUGCUUGUGAUUCUUGAAAAGGAUUACAGAGAAGAAAACGGUGAAUAUCAGGAGGAAGGUUCUGAUCGCCAAGAUGAUAGAGAAAAAACUCAAGCUUACGAACUUGAGGUAAUUGUUACAACUCCUUGUGUACUCUGUUUGCUCAAGAGUUCUAGUACCAGGUCAAUUAUUAUAAUGCGAUUAUCUUGUCAUCGCUAGAAAUCUUUACUAGUAUAUAUAACUAUUAUGAAUUUUCCUUCAUUACUUGAAAGCUGAAAGACACCACAAAAGCUUCAAUUUUCUUUGUUGAUGCAAUACCAUGAAACCUUUUUUGUUAAAUAACUCUCAUUAGAACCAAUUUUCCAUACAGGGCAUUUGGUUCUUAGAUCAUUUUAUAGGAUAUUUCGUACUAUAAGUAAGAACCAACUACUAUCCACAAUUACCUCUACAUGCUUGUUUGUGCAUAUAAAAAGACAACAAUACUCAGAAGGUUGCUGUAACAUGUCCACACUCCGCUUUUGUGGUGCUAAUACUACCGAACAUUUGUAAUUGCUUUUUUUAUUUGAAGCUAAAAAAAGAAAGUAUACAAAAACUAAUAGAUAAGAAAACCAACUACUCAAUUGUCAAUUCAGAAUUCAUACUGUGGGUUAUAAGGUUAUUUCAGUGAAAUUGUUUUGGUAUUGGUACACAACCUUUAUUAGUUGGUGCAACUCCCAUUUCCGGAAGUCUUCGUACACUUUAAUUGAAUUGCUGCAGCCCUAGGAAUCCAUAGUUUCUGUUUCACAAUUCACCCAAAGUUUCAUUCUUUGUUGCAGAAUUAAAUAACCUUCUGUAGUUGUUUUCACUACCUUUAUUACCUGGCUUCUCUUGCUCACAGAUAGUGGAAGCUAAUGCAAGGAAGGUGGGCAAAGUCCUAUUUAAGCCAAUAAGCAGUGAAUGUGUUGGUGUUGACAACAAGGGUGUGAACCGCCUGGUCUCCAAGAAGAUCAUCAAACGGAAGAAGCAGGGCUAUGAUGAUUCCUCCGGUGACGAGUAUCCAGAUACAACAGAGAAUGGCUGCCCUGCUGAGGCACUCUCCUACUCGGAUGGUAACAGUGCCUUGUUGGAAGAUGCAAGCAGUUCUAGUGCCAAGAGGUGACAAUAAAGGAACUCCAAGACCAUCGUACUACUGGUAAUAAUUACAGCACACCGUCACCGGUCCUAAUACCCCUUGUUACAACAGAAGAAGAUGAGAAGAACAUAGUAGUAGGCUACCCAAAAAAAAAAACUGCGAGAGCAACACCAAGAGGUUAACAGCAGUUUAAGGCAUUGCAACAUUUUUCAGUAGCAGGAGUAGCAGUAGUAGCAGUCUAGAGGUGCAGCGAGGUGUCGACGUCGACUUCACCAGAGACAUGUUUGUAGUUGUAGGUCUUACUGGGCCACAGCUCCACCGCAAUGGGGUCGCUAUCGCCGUGGAGCUGGAAGCUUUUGCAUUCACAGACAGUGGUUGGCACGGCCGGGAAUAAGGAGGCUGCGGCGGCAACAGCGGCAGUGGUUUCCCGCAGCGGCCUGCACGGGUAGAGCAGCUCCGGGUGGAAGAACCACUUGACGGGCAUCUCCCUCGGGGAGGCGGUGGCCGCAGGGCGGGGGGCGAGCACGUGGAGAAGCCUCUCCUCCCGCUUCUCCCUGAUCCUCUCCAGCUCCCUGAACCUCUGCUGCAGCAGGGCGAUGGAGGAGAACAUCACCUGGCCUUCGCUGCUCUGCACCCCCAUGAUGACUGGGCGAGAGGGGGAGCUCUCACUCCAGCUCCGAGUUUCAGUUACGUGUUCGUGUCGUGUGUAUCUCACUCAAGCGUCUGUCUACUUCGCUCGGUGUGUGUGGGGGUUUUGCUUGCUGCUUGAAGGGGUGGUGGUCUUGGGCAUGUGCGUAUUUAUAAGCCGCAAAGUUUUGUCACGGCGCAGGGCGUCGUCUUGUGGUCGUCUUGCAAGUUGCGCCAAUUCUUUCAUCUUCAUCUUCCAUUAUGUGAUGCUAUGCCUGUUUGUGUGUUUUGUUUAUGGGCUGAUUGAAAAACAAAAGAGGCACUAUUGGUAUGAGAGAGAAUCUGGGAGGAGAAUGUCACGUCGCCCGAGAAAGGAAGUGGGAGGCGUGCAGGUGAGAGAAUAAGGGGCGUGGCGUGGGAGAGUCCAAGGAAAUGGGGCUGUGGACGCUUGCGCUUGUUCCGUUCCUGGCGGUGGGAAUCGCCGUGUGCCGUUGUGAUGUGCGGGGUGGCCAUGAUUGCGCCUCUGUUUGUCUGUCACCUUUUUCCCUUGCGCAUUGCUGCAGCAGCAGGGCAGGGGAGAGGUCUGCAUGCCCUGCCAUGCCCUGCCCUGCUGCUCGUACUAGCUCGCUACUACUCCCUUCCCCCUCUCCAUCCAAACGGGCACUGCGAGCUUUUCCUGGUCUAUAAUGGCGUCGUUGGAGCUGUAGUACGUGCUGUUCGUAGCAACUGUGGGCAGCGCUUUCAGGUGUGGAACUGUGCACUCCAUGAGCCAUUGUCUUCGUUUGCGUGUGUGAACGUGUUGGAGAGUCUGGGAGCAGAAAGUCUGCGUUGAACGUUACUUCUUUGGGUCUUUGACUGGUGCGUCCAUAGAUCUGUGAAUGGGAGCGCUGAUUGCACGCUGCGUAGUACAGUGCGUUCGAGUAACGCUGAGACGGCGUGCUGCUUUGAAGUUUCAACUUUUGGUUAAUUCAGGAAAGUUGAUUGAUCUUAUGUUUUUUGACGGCCAGGUAAACACGGCCAAUUGCACCGGCGUCAAAAAGACCUCUGUCAUCCGAUGCUUUGGACAGUAAUUGAGAUAUUCGUAACAAAUGCUUCACUACCCGAAGAGAAAACUAGUUUUCGUUGGUUUCCGCAUUUUGUGAAAAUAAGAAAGGGCAUGUUUGAGUCAGAGUCGGGUUAUUAUAAUUGGAUUAUCGACUCUAAUAAUUAGAGUGCUAGAUUUUUUGUGGUGGAACCUAUCCAUUUCUUGCCUAGCCAGCCAACUAUCAUGAUGCUACAUGGUAUUUAAGUAACGACCAUUUUCUCAAAUGGUCAAGGAUUAUAUUCUUCUUUGAUUUUUUUUUCCCUUCAAGUGGCCUAGGGUUUUGUAGUCUAAUGUGAACAAUAUCAGGUGAAAACAAAAUAGCAUCAAAGAAUAGAUAGCCAAAAUGCCUAACGAAAAGGAAAAUUGUGGGUUACAUGUCUCAUGAAUUAUUUGAUGAAGUAGAAUAAGAUACGUUCGGUUAUUUGAGAGAAAAAAAAACUGCACAACAUAAAAAAAUAACUGUUUGCCUAGUUGGCUAAGAAAAAAUAUAGUGGGCUCCAUGGCUCCUAAGACUCUUUAAAUAUCAUGUAAAUGGAUAUAAAAGAAGUCAAUAAAUCAUUCUGCUGAUAUUGACUGAAUUAUUUGCUAUCAACAAUUAUCCAAAAAAGAUUUCUUUAAGAAUAAUAUUUCUACCAUGUAAAACAAGAAGAAAAAGACAAAUUAAUCGGAACUUUUGUUUGUGGCUGGAACUAUUGUAAAUGUCAUUGUUGAGUUGAGAUAUUUUUUUUUUGAAGUUCCCUUUUUGCGAGGAAUGAGUAAUCUGAACGUUAUUUGUUUGUGGUUGUUGAUUCCCUGGAGCUGUUAUAGAAGUCAUUAUUGAGUAGAGAUUUUUUGAAGUUCCUUUUUGCAACGAAUGAGUAAAUAGUUGCAUAGAUGUUUGAUGGUAUUAGCAUACUCUGCUUCUAAAAUAAUGAAAGGGAUUUUCCGUUACUAUUUAGUUGUGGACUGAGGCCUGAAGAAGUAUGUUUUGAAACUCGGAAUUUCAUGGAGGAUUUGUAGGAAUCCCAUAUAUAAUAAACAUGUCAAAAUUAAUCCUCCUAUAUUUUCUUGGUCAUUUUCUAGAGCUAGGCUCAUUUAUCUUUAAUUUGUCUAGUGAAGAGUAUAUGUAUAUCCUUUGCUCCAAACAUGUAGUGGUGAGUGGAGUUUACUAAUAUUAUUAUGUGUAGUUAACCUAGAACUAGAAGCUUGGUAACUGAGCCUUAUCUAAUCUGGCCCUAAACUAACUUAUCAUCCAAACUGAUCAGUUGGAGUCUUGUGACGAUGAUAUCUCUGGUUUGUUGUGGAACGGGACUAGUACUGCCGGACAUAUUAUACAUUGGAUGCAUGCGACAUAUAUACAGUGUUGAACUUGUUUAUAUUAAUUUAUCCUGGAUAGCCAAUAGUAGCCCAUAACAUUAACAUGCAACAUAGUAUAUGCAUUUGCAUGUACUGCUAGUUCCCUGCUACGUACGAUCCUGACAGUAGGCACCUAAUCUUUCCAUGCCCCAAUAUUUUACCGCCGCUGUCGCUUCCAUUCUAGAGAGAGAACAAUAUGACCAUCUUGUAAAACAUUCUAGAGAAGAGAUGCAUGGAGAGUAUGGCAAUAAUUUAAGCAGAUUGAUGGGAGCGAGAUAUUUUUAAAGGCAGAUCAUCGAUUGAUGCAUGGGAGCGAGAGAGCUUAGCAGAGAAAAUAAAGAAGAUUGGUGAUUGGUGAUAGGCCGGGGCAGCCGUGGUGCAGCAGCAGCUAGAACUAGAGAAGCUAAAAGGAAGGCUGAUGGCAGGGCAGGGCAGUAGUUUAAGGACGGGUCCAUGCCUGCAGCUAGCUAGCAUCUAUCGACGUUCCUCCGUUGUCGCGGAGCCGGUGGACGCGAAUGGCAUGCGUGGGUGCACUACCCUGCUGAUGCACACAGCAUGCAUUGCUGCCUGCAUGCGACAUGGUAUACAGCUCCCGGCCGGCGUCUCUCCUCUCCUCUCUUCUCUUCUCUUGUCCAUCCAUCGGCAGCAUACGGUCGGUCACUCGCAGCAUGCAUGCUCCUCUGAUCGAGCUCUGCUGGUGUCGUGUCGUGUCGUCGAUGGAUCGGGGCCGGGUUGGGUGUUGCUGCAUUGCAUGCUCCCUAAAGCGCCGCCCUUGUUGCCAAAGUGAAUGCUGCCGACGACGACCGCCGCGCCGCCCGUCUUCUUUUUCGGCGGAGGGGGGCGGCCGGGCACGGGCACGGGCACGGCACAGUCUUCCGGGCAGGGGCAGGGGCAGCCGGGCAAGCCAACACCUGCUAGCGGACGAGAAAUUGAAUCGAAUGGGAAACAAAGAAAAAAUUGAUGGCUGAUGGCUCCAUCUUUCUUUCUGUCUGUCUGUCUGUCGGUCAGUCAUUUUACUAAUUUAUUUGACUGCGCUACGGAGACGACAGUGUAACAUUUUUAUUUGUAUUUAAUAAUUAUUAUUUAACUAUAGACUAAUUAGGCUCAAAAGAUUCGUCGCGUAAACUAUAGACAAACUGUGCAAUUAGUUUUUAUUUUCGUCUAUAUUUAGUACUUUAUACAUGUGCCACAAGAUUUGAUAUGACGGGAAAUUUUAAAAAGUUUUUGAAUUUCGAAGUGAACUGGUCAAAUAUGCAAUGCUUGUACGUGCGCACUAGUUUAUGCCAAUGAUUCAUUUUUCGCGGAUCCUCCGAAUUUCACACCAUACAGUCAGAAUAUAAUUGCUCCAAGACACGUCAAUUUUGAUGCGUCAAUUUGUGCAUGUGGUUCCUGGCACUACUGGAUCCGGCUUCUUUGCCGAGAGCCGCGAGCCCUCGGCAAAUGCCUAAAAGCCCUCGGCAAAGGCUUUGCCGAGGGCCAUAAACGCCCUCGGCAAAGCCUACGGCGCCGUCGAAAAACGUCAAUAUUGACGUCGUCUUUGCCGAGAGCCAUGCUGGCAGGCUCUCGGCAAAGAUUCUUUAUUUUUUUUAAAAAAAGCCUUUGCCGAGAGCCCUGCAGGAAGGCUCUCGGCAAAGAACCCCUUUGCCGAGAGCCAGACAUCCAGGCUCUCGGCAAAGAACCCCUUUGCCGAGAGCCAGACAUCCAGGCUCUCGGCAAAGCUGUAGUUCUUCUGAACCCGGCUUUCUAUCUUUGCCGAGUGCCAGCCAUCCAUGCUCUCGGCAAAGCUGAGAAUUUAGUUUUUUUUUCUGUUUUUUAUCUGUUUUUUACAUGCACAGCCACAUAUGUAUAUAUAUAUAUCACAAAUCCCUUUGUCUAUAUCACAAUCCACAUAUAUAUCACGCAUGAAACAUAUCGAAGUCCACAGAUAUCACAAAUCCACAUAGAUAUGACAAAUAUAACAUUACGUCCAACAUAAACCAUAAGUCACCACAAGUUCAUAACAUAAACCACAAGUCCACGUGAAUAUCACUCCUCGAAGUCGCUAGCGCCUCACCCCUAGUGCUGUGACUCUGACCUGUCGUCGCCGUGGCCUCCGUCGUGUCCCGAGCCUCCAUCUGGCCAAGCCGACCAGGGUGAGUGCCCCCCAGGGUGUGUAGAGCUCGCACCUGCCCACGGCGCCCACAUGGCCUGCCCUGGCACCGACGGGUACGGGUACGAGUACCCGGGGCGCGGAGGAGGGCUGCCGGACAACCCGGGGUGGCCGUGCUGCGGAUGGGCACCAGGCCACGUGUGCUGCGUACUUGGGUGGCCAUAAGUAGUAACCUGCCACCCACUCCUUGGAGAAGGGGUCGGGUUCGAACCCCACGACUGAUGCUACAUAAUAUAAAAGCGAACUCAUUAGUAUCUGCAGGACGGCCACACAAGCCAAAGCAAUAGACAAACAUAUAUACACUCACCGGACUGCCUGCAGGGGCAGGAACAGGGGGUGGAACAGGGGGUGGAGCGAAGAGCGAGGCAGGCAGCGGAGGCGCUGUAGAGCUGUGGAUGGACUGGAAGUAUCCGACUAGGUCCGAGAUCUGACGCUGCGUGUGCUGCUGCUGUGCCUCCAUGUGGCGCCGAUGGGCCUCGUCUCUGGCCGCCAGCGCGGCCGCCAGCUCUCGCCGAUGAGCCUCCUGCAGCUCGUCCUGCCUGGCCCGCAACUCCUCUAGCUGCGACUGCAAUAUUACACCCGCAAUGGUUAAACAAUGCAAAAGGAGAUGUAUAUAUGUAAAAAUAAUGGACGAUGGAUAAAGCUGUAGUUACCUGCAUCGUAGCUAUCUGCUGCACGGAGCUCGGCUGACGAGGCCGUAUGGGGACGUCGGAGGUCGAGCUGCUCCCCUGCCGAACCUCGCGGAGCGUGGGUACGGUGGCCGGGUUGAUUGCGCUGUGGGCAAUCAUGUACCGGCCGUGCUGCUUCCCUCCUCCCGUCCUCAUGAGCAAGUCCGUGUCCGAGACCCUUUGCCGUGGGCCGUCCAGUCUGGCUCUCGGCAAAGACCCUUUGCCGUGAGCCUAACGCGCAGGCUCUCGGCAAAGAACUGCUGACUUUUUUUAUUCUUUUUGAAUUUAGAGCUGAGUUUUUUUUUUUGUCCUUGUGACUCAAUUUCUAAAUACAUUUUAAAAUUUGGCAUUAAUUUGACUUUUUUUGCUAUAUUUAACUAAUUAAUCUUGUUUCUUUAUAUUUUUUCACAUAAUUCAAAUUUCAACUGUAGGUACAUGAAAUAUUACAACUCAAUGAUUCGAAAAAUGAUAGUCAAGAUAUUUGGUGUACGUUGAGGUCGUAACCACAACCACACAUGAAAUCUCAACCCUCUCGCUAACAUAACAUGUCAAGGAAUGUGAGGGAAAAUGGAUUUAUAAUUAUAUAAAUUUCAAAUAAACUCCAAAAAUCACGAAACUUGGCGACGUGUCGUGUUAUCGCAUGUGGAGGCUGUGGUAAAAAAUUCAUAAGGUUCCGAGCAAGUUGCGACACCGGAUGUCUAAAACCCAGACAUCUCCACAUGUUAUCGAAUGUGAUCACAUGCGGAGAUGUCUGGGUUUUAGACAUCUCGUGUCGCAACUUACUCGAAACCUUAUGAUUUUUUUACCACAGUCUCCACAUGCCAUAACAUGACACAUCGUCAAGUUUCGUGAUUUUUGGACUUCAUUUGGAAUUUAUAUAAUUAAAAAUCACUUGUACGACACAUGGAUGGUCAUGUUUUAUAUACAAGAAAUUCAAACUCUUGGGUGAGUUUAUGGAUACAACAUCAAAAUGCAGUCUUGAACAUGAGUAUAAUUUUUUGAAUGACUAUAUUUUAUUAUUUCAUGCUCCUACAGUUCAAAAUUACUUUUUCGAGAAAAAUACAAAUAAAAUAAUUUAAUUAAAAAAUAUAGCAAAAUGUUAUAAAAAGCUCUCAAAUUUGAACAUGUGCUUAUAUACAAUAUGUAAGGGUUACAGAAAAAGUUUGAGUACAAAACUAAAAAAAAUCUUUCUUCUUUGCCGAGAGCUUGACAAGGCACUUGGCAAAGGCCUCCUCUUUGCCGAGAGCCUAACGCCGUGGCUCUCGGCAAAGGUGACGACAACGGUUGCCGUUACCAGCGCUGCUCCUUUGCCGAGAGCCUAUCUUUGCCGAGAGCUAGGCUGUCGGCAAAGCUAGCCUUUGCCGAGGGCUUGCCUUUGCCGAGAGCUUGACCAUCGGUAAAGUUUCUUUGCCGAGGGUCGUUUCUGACUGUCGGCAAAGGCAGUCUUUGCCGAGGGCUAGCUCUCGGCAAAGCUGAGCCCUCGGCAAAGCUCUCGUUUCCUGUAGUGUGGGCUUUGAAUUGAUCGAUGGCAAAAAGCCGUAAUGGAAGCACGUCGCGUCUUGAAUGCAUGCACUAUAUAGGAAUAUAGCUACACAAAAGAAGAGAAAUAAUGACACACAUAGUAGUAGCUAGCUAGUAAAGUGUGUAUGUAAGGCCUUGUUUAGUUCCCAGAAAAUUUUGCAAAAUUUUUCACGGUCCCCGUCACAUCGAAUCUUUAAACGCAUACAUAAAGUAUUAAAUAUAGACGAAAAUAAAAACUAAUUGCACAGUUUGGUCGAAAUAGACGAAACGAAUCUUUUGAGCCUAGUUAGUCCAUGAUUGGAUAAUAUUUGUCAAAUACAAACGAAAGUGCUACAGUGUCGAUUUUGCAAAAUUUUUCGGAACUAAACAAGGCCUAAACCUAAAAGCCCAUGCAUUAUUGCUUUUUAAAAAGUUAAAGCGGUGAUGGAUGGUUUUGUUCAUGGCUCGAGGAGGAUGUGUCCUAGCUAGUUGUUGGUGGGGGAGGUGAGAGUACCUAGGAAAAUUUGCUUACAUUUUCCUGUACAUGCAUGCAUGCAACGCUAAUUGGAUGGAUAUGGUCGGAACAUGCAUGGGUCCACCAUUCACAUCUCUUGGUCCUACACGCACGCCUACUAUUGUGAUGCGUCUCAGCUUUUUAAUGUGCCUGCGUUGCAUGCAUGCAGCUGGGUACGUAAGGACACGCCGCAAGCUGCCCAAACUCUAGCUCUGCUUCCCGCAUUGCAUUGCAUUGUAUCUACCUCGUGGCGCAUUAGGGUUAGAGAGAGAGAGAGAGAGAGAGAGAGAGAGAGAGAGAGAGAGAGAGAGAGAGAGAGAGAGAAGUGUGGUAUAGCUAGCAUGCAUCCAUAUAUAUCCGAUCGACCUGUAGUUCAUGGCACAUUCAUUAGGUUUGGAAGAGUGAGAUCGAGGCAGGACGAUAUGUAGUACGUCGUCGUCCUUCGUAUAAACGGACAUUCGCUCAAUGUUGAAUUGUUGACAGACGACGAUGCGCGCGGCACUUUGUUUGACCAUGCAUGCAUUCAUCCGUGCAUGCAUGGAGCGUCUAUGUGCUUGUCCCUGAAUAAACUAAUUAAUCACUGCACGAACUCGAUCGCCUUGCUGUCAACUUAGCUUAGCUUAUUACAAGUGUGUUAACGACAAGCAAUCAUGGAAAUGAGCUGCAUAUAGACACUGUUCACAAUGCACGUUAUGUUGGAGCACUAGCUAUAGCUAAUUAAUGAGCCAGCAAUUAACAAAACGCCUGCUAAACCAAAAUAUGCAUUUAAGCCAUGUUUCGUUUCCUCCGGUAAAGUUUAACUCCUGUCAUAUCGAGUGUUUGGACACAUGCAUUAAAUAUUAAAUAUAAAUUAUUUACAAAACUAAAAUAAAACUAGAGAGUAAUUUGCGAAAUAAAUCUUUUAAAUCUAGUUAGUCUAUAAUUAGAUACUAAUUGUCAAAUAAAACAGAAAUAUGCUAUAUGCUACAGUACAUCCUUAACCGGCAAGUACAGGCCGGGUGAGGCAUGUCGGAUGCUAGAGAUGGCCAAAUGGGCUAAGCCCAAUAAUACGCAGCCUAAGCACAUAUGGGCCUACUAAAGCAUCGCAUUACAUUAUGGGUCGAGCCACUAUGUGUCUCGUGCCCUUUUUUACCAUUCAAAAUGGGUGCUCUCAGGAUGGAUCAUAAUUAUGCCCCUUUUUAAUUCGAGAGCAAUGUUGAUCAAAUUUCGUCGUAGUUGCAGCACAGCCAAAAAAAAAAACUAACAAAAAGAGCCUGUCAGACAACCCAUGGGCCAUCCCAGCCAGGCAAGCCUGGCCGGAAACGAUCAUCUACAGCACCGGACAAAGCGUCAGAGCCAAUCCUGGCCGUUAAUCACGCUCUGGCCCACAGGUCAUGGCUCAUCAACCAGGCUUAAGUGCUUGCCUCCUUAUUAAUCAAGGAUGCAGCGGUACGAUCCUAUAGAACAGAUCCUGUUCAAGUAAGGUCGU
rnacentral:lncRNA from 1 species